UCCACACAGAUCGACACCACAAGCCCUCAUCCUCCGCUGCCCAUCUGCCAAAGCAAACAAGAACACACAAGACAGUUCAGGCAGGCAUGGAUGCAGAGUUCACCUGAGUUGGGAGGGACUGACUAGCCAACCAUGCAAAUGCAAGCAGGGCGGAGAAUUAGUAGCCGAUGUCGGCGCCGUCGUCGACCAAGGUCGCCGUUGAUGCCGGGGAUAGGUAUCGAUCACACGGUGUUAUGGGCCCUGGUCAAGAUCGCAGGAGGAGACGCUUCAAUCUGGCGAGAUCCCGGCUCUCGUUGCUGCUCUCUCGGAGGUGGAUCUCAUCUGGGAUAAUAUAUAUGGCAGAAUUUCCAAGGAAAUGCACGGUUGCCUUGUCGGCUGAGUGUAACUUCCAGGUCGCAACCUUUGUACGAGCAGCCGAAUGAGCAGGAACGAGUACACAUCACAUUUUAUUGACUCAUGCGUGGGUGGUGUAAACAACGGAAAUGAUUUGCGUACGACGAUGCAUGUCCGAAGCACGUACGACGAUGCAUCCGCAUCGUGAGCUAGCUAACCCGUUGAAAGACAUACGGCUUGAUUUGAUGGUCGUACGUGGUUCGGAUGAGAAUCGUCGUACGUGUAGCACUGCUCAGUCUUGGGUGGUGUAAACAAAGUCUUCUUAGGGUAUGUACAAUGGUUGAUAAGAUAGUUUUAUUUCAAGUUUUACAUGUAAUUUAUAGAUGAUAAAAAAAGUCUUACAAUGAAUCACCUCUUAAUUGUUCUCUCUUAAAUAAGAAAAGACAAAUUUUUUUUAUGAGUUAUCUUUCCUCCACCUCAUCAUUUAUCUUACAUGACACUACUAAGAUAGCAUCAUUGUACAUGUCCUUAUGUGACAGGAAAAAAAAACCAACAGCCCUACCAGGAAAUAAAACAAACGUGUGAAGCACGUGUUGUGCAUGAGAGUGAUUUUGUUUUCUUAACUCAUGCCUUUUGGUUUAUUGCACUAUCUUUCUUUUAACACGCAAGCGUUUAUAUACACGUACAUAGACUGAGCCGGCAUAUCAUGAAAUUUAUGAAUAAAUUCAGAAAUAAAUGCGAACAUCAGGAUUUAAACCCUGAUGAGCUAUGAAUAUCACAAUCUCUCUAACCAUCCAACCACAGACUGGUUCGCAUUGUACUCUUCGUCGUACUAUCUUUUCAAUGUGUUACUUGUUGUCCUUAAUAAUUAUCAUAUCUAAGAUGCCCUUUGGGUGUGUUUCGUACUAUGAAAAAGGGUCCUGCAUGGAUAGAGAGAGCGUGUGCUGACGAGACAGCAUAAAAUGUUUCACCAGUUAGUUAAUAGAGUGUCACAUAAAUAAAAUACAUAGUCCGGGUAGGAAAAAUACUCCACGAUGCUUGAGUGCCCUUGACCAAAGCCUAGCGCCCUCGAUCGCCCCAUCCUUUCCUCCCUGGCUACUACCUCAGAUCACCGCCAAUCCGCAUGACUUCCAAGGACGACAGCGGCGAAGCUCCCUCCUUGAGCAACACCUUGGUACUUGUACGCCUCUUCCUACUGAGCGACGUCGUUGUGCUCUCCGUUGGUUCCUUGGUGGUUGCGUUUUUCUGUUGCCAUUUUUGUUGGCGAUGCUCCGCCCCUCCUUUGGACGGAGCAUUGCCAGUAUAUGGACUUUUUUUUAGAAUAACUGCAUAUUUUUUAACCAGCAAAUGUUACAAACAUAGCACAUACAUAACAUCGCUGAGAGAGCACGAGAGACCAAAGGUGUCCCAACACAAAUGCAAAAAGGUCUCAAAAAGGAGAAAAUACAAUCUGAACCCCCGGGGGCCUUAAUGCAUGAAGAACCAACACCAGUCGCUGACCGCCGCCAUCGACGACGAGACGAACGGCGAAGGAGGACGCCAGAAACCAUCAAACCCUGAGCCGAGGGCACACCAUCACUGAAAAGGGCUUUCUGAGUCGAAGAUGAGCCCGGUCGCAAACGGUGAGGCAUAGCCGUUGUGGCACGUCGACCGGGGAAAGUCCCCGUGCAAAUCCUCGGCUCCAGUUUCGGCACCUCCGUUGGACGAAGUCGAAGGAGAAUUACCAGAUCUACCGCCACAAACCACCACGAGAGUGUUGAGUCACCAAGUCUCUCGCCAACAGCCGCGGUCACCGCACGGGCCGGUGACCAACGCUGGCCCGAGCACUCCUAUACAAGACUCUGUCGGCUUCCCAUCGACACUGAAGAACGUGUCGAUGUGGCAGAGACGAAGCCGAGGGAACAAAACUCCCGAUGUCCCCUGCUUGACCAAAUCCGAGCACGCCAAGCCUGUCGCCGCACACGUCGGCCAGGCCAAACCUAACCUCACCGCCCAAGACGAGCGGCAGGAAUCUACGCCGAGCAGCGCCCGAGGAAACACCACCGAGACGGAGGCGGAACCGGAGGACAAAAGGCACGAGCUGGGCAGCCGUCGCCGCCUCGUCGACCCAGCCCCACCACCCAGAUAUCGCCAGCCACGCGAAACCUGCGAGCAGACCGAAGCUCCCAGCCUUCUCGCCCACCGCAACGCAUACCACCGCGUUGGGGAGAGAGCAGGGGCACCCUUAUUAGCCGCACUCGCCAUUCCCACCGGAGAUGCGAAAACGACCAGCCACCACCAAGCUACAAAGCCUACCUAGACUACACCUGUACAAGCCAUGCCCCCGGAUCCGACGACCCCAACCUGCACCGAAGAGCAUGAAGUCCCGGGGGAGAUGGCGUCGCCGGAUCCAAAGCCGGCAAAGGAGUCGCCUCUCACUAGUGGAAAACGGGCCUUUGGCCAGGACCCUUUAGUCCCGGCCUGCCUCUGGGCCGGGACUAAAGGCCCGGCCACGUCGCCCCAAUUCUCAAUGCCUCCCUCGAGGCUUUAGUCCCGGCCCGUAAGGAGCCUUUAGUCCCGGUUCAUGUUCCAAACCGGGACUAAAGGGCUACGCGGCGGGUAGUGGUGGUGGCAACCGUUCGUAUCCCCCUUUAGUCCCGGUUGGUGGCUCAACCCGGGACUAAAUCCCUAACCCGUGCCCUGCCGUAGUGGUGGUAACCGUUGGUAUACCUCUUUAGUCCCGGUUGGUGGCUCAACCCGGGACUAAAUCCCUAACACGUGGCCUGCCGUAGUGGUGGUAACCGUUGGUAUACCUCUUUAGUCCCGGUUGGUGGCUCACCCCGGGACUAAAUCCCUAACCCGUGCCCUGCCGUAGUGGUGGUAACCGUUGGUAUACCUCUUUAGUCCCGGUUGGUGGCUCAACCCGGGACUAAAGGCCCAAACGGUUUGCAUCCCGCGUCGUUUCGGGCGAUGAAAAGCACGAACCAAAGCAGAGUCGCCAUUUCUCUGUUUCUUCUUCUCUCUCGCUCUCGCUCUGUUCUUCUCCUCUCUUCUUCCAUCAUGCCAACUCGCUUUGGAGAGGUGCUCGCACAUGGCAAGACCAAGCUCGAUGUCGUGUACACGAACGAGAGCAGGGAGAUGCCGUAUUUUCUUGAACAGUUGAAGGAACGAUGGCUUGACGCCGCAAUGGAUCAUGAGAAGUUCUUGGGGCUUGAUCUGGAGUACACGGCCGAUCAACGCGGUGUUGCCGUCAUCCAACUAUGCUUCGCACACCAUGUCUUGAUCUUCCAAUGGGCGAGGUAAGUUUUGAGGCUUUCUUUGAUCCAAGGUAAUGACAUUGUAAGUUUAUUUGUUUCAAUCAUAGUUGGUUCCCUUCAAAUAGUUGUAGUGAAACAAUUUUGAUUAGUUGAAGGGGAACACAAUCUGAUUGGAAUAGUGUUCCAUAAUCUGAAAAAUCGUAUUAGAAUCAACUAGUGUUUAAUAUGUUCCAUUGGAAUCAUAGUUGGUUCGCUUCAAAUAGUUGUAGUGAAACAAUUUUGAUUAGUUGAAGGGAACACAAUCUGAUUGGAAUAGUGUUUCACAAUCUGAAAAAUCUGAUUGGUUCAAUAUGUUCCAUUGAAAUCAUAGUUGUAGUGAUACAAUUUUAUGCGGUGUUAUUUGAUCCAAGGUUAUGAAAAUUGCAUAUAGCUAGUGAUCUCUCUAGGUUCCAUUUGAUAGCAAUAUGAUAUGUCAUAGUCAUGAAAAUUGCAUAUAGCUAGUGAUCUCUCUAGGUUCCAUUGGAUAGCUAUAGUGAUCUCUCUAGGUUCCAUUGCAUAUGUUCUAUUUGAAUCCUAAAGAUAAUUUUCUCUUUAGUUGUAGUGAAACAUGUUUCCUUAUUGCAGCAGUAUGUAACAUUUUCCAUUUUAAUUUGUUUCUGUUGCAGUAGUGACAAGCAUUGUCCAGAACUCAUGGACUUCCUGCGCAGCGGCAUCACUUUUGCUACCGUUGACAUAACGAACGACAAGCUGAAGAUGAGGUACAGCUUCGGUAUUGAGAUACCAACUGGUUGCCUCAUUGAUCUCCAAACGGUAUUCAGGCUUCGACAUGUCAGGACUUCGAUGGCUCAUAUGGCAGUUGCCUUGAUCGACGAGGAAUAUGGUGAUAUGAAGACCAAUUUUCCCAAAGUCUCAGCACAAACUUUGGGAGAAGGCCCCACUUGAUCGUAUCAACAUUGAGUAUGCAACAAAAGAUGCAUACGUUUCAUACGAGUUGUACCGCAAGAUUCGAGUCGUCAACUAUGGCCAGCGUCACCUCGAAUAAGGUGGACAUUCUGAUUCGAGUCGUCAACUAUGAAAACUAAUUCCCGAACACCAAACGAGGCAUCACGUUAAUCUUCCGAACACCUAAACCCUAAAAUCCUAAAACCCAAAAAUAAUUUCAUUCAAAAAAAACCCAAAAAUAAGCAAAAUCUAAAACUCUUUAGUCCCGGUCCGUGUAACGAGCCGGGACUAAAGGGCCUGCCCCUGAGGCGCUACGAGGCGCCCACGUGGAGCAUCUUUAGUCCCGGCUUGUAACAGGGCCGGGACUAAAGGUUAGGCGUCCCGGUUGGUGAACCGGGACUAAAGUCCCUUACGGGCCGGGGCUAAAGGCCCCGUCUCCACUAGUGUCUGGCAGUAUAUGGACUUGUGGUAACCUUUGUUAGGACUUAGGUGCUCCAUCCCUGUUCCUCACCUCUCACCUGAUUUGGACGCCCACCGGUUUGGUCUGGCCUAGUAUCUUUUUCCAGUCAUUUCUCGGUUAGAUGCGGAAGAUUUGCCGCAUGAUCUAGCGAUUGCAUCUGACGUUUUUCUUGACUGGUGAUUAAAGUUGGUCGUUAAGGUCUUGUUGAACGUACGUGUGGACCAAAAUAUGUUUUUAUCUUUGUGACAAGUACAAUGACCGCUGUUGUAUUUAUCUCUCAUCUCAACCCUCAACUAAAUUCUAUGUGAAUUCCUAGUAUCUCUUGCAAUCCCUGGUAUCCAUCAAUUGGUUCUGUCGCGCUCCUAAGUUCUCCUUCCCUCUCCGAUCAUAUAUCUCUUUAGUCGAAUCAUGGCAAGGUCAUGUCAAGACCCAAAUGUUUUUUCAAAAAGAUAGUAUAAACACACACACUCACAUCCAUGAACGCACAUACGCACGUUCUAUUCCUAUAAGCACAUUUGAAAGGCUGAGCCGGCGGAUGUUAAGAUUGACAAAGUCACAACAAACGUCACAUCACUCUAUGGACAGAAACAUUGCCUCCCAUUGAGAGUACAUUUCGCGUUUAUCACACACCAAAGCAUCAACAUUUAAUUCCUUGUGUUAGGAAUUAAUUAAAUGUAUUAAUUAAUGGAAUAAUCCAUGCGUUGCCGGUUGCCUUGAUUUAGCAACCGUUCCUUGUAACCGACUCUGUACUCGGGGUAUAAAUACCCCGCAUCUUCAAUCAAUAAUAAUUGUUCCAUCAUUCUGUCACUUUCACUGUUUUACACGUUAUCAGCACUCGCUCUGCCGAGAGCGACAGAGAGCCACGAGAAAGGUCAGAAUGGCAGGAAGAGAGUUGUCUGCACUUGCUUUUGCUUUCGCACGCUUCCUGCAGAAAGAGAACACCCGCUUCCCUCGCACUCAGCGCCACCGCAUUGCACGUCGCCAUCAGGGUCUUGGUGCAAGGAAUGGCCCUCAUCGCCGUUCCUUCACCAGGAACCACCGCCAGAACCGGAGUGGCCCUCAUCGCCGCUUCUUCGCCGGGAACCACCGCCAGAACCACCGCCGUGGGUAUGCACGUCGAGGCAACCAACCACUUCGUGGGCGUGCACCAACGGUGCACCAGGCUGGAUCCUCGACUCCGGCCACCGCUCCACUACAACAGGCUGGUGUUGUAGAUAUGCCCUAGAGGCAAUAAUAAAUUAGUUAUUAUUAUAUUUCUUAGNNNNNNNNNNNNNNNNNNNNNNNNNNNNNNNNNNNNNNNNNNNNNNNNNNNNNNNNNNNNNNNNNNNNNNNNNNNNNNNNNNNNNNNNNNNNNNNNNNNNUGGAUAAUAAACUAUUAUCUUGAUACAGGAAUUAUAAUAAUAACUAUGCAUUUAUUAUUGCCUCUAGGGCAUAAUUCCAACAGUGCCUUCUAGUUGCACUGUCUGUACCCAGACAGUUUAUAACUCUUCCGCUGGCUUGUAUUUGUAUGACUGCUAUUAUGGGUCGAGAGACCUUAAUGUGUAAUAUUAUGUGUGUGGCUCUUNNNNNNNNNNNNNNNNNNNNNNNNNNNNNCUUCCGAGCCUCUUAAAUAAAGCUUGUAUGUUUAUGGUUAUGUUGUGAUGCCAUCGAUGUAUCUAUACAUAUCGGUAUGCCAUGCGUACGUGUGUCUUACUUGGUAUGUAUGGGGUUCGAAUACCUAGUCGUGAACUUUAGUAGCACUCCUUACAAGGAAAUGCCCCUUUGUGAUCCAACGAGCCUUGGUAGUUCGCUACUGCUCCGGACACAUUGGUUGACCGGCAUGUGUCCUUCUUAGCUGCUGUGUCUGUCCCCUUUGGGGAAAUUUCACGCGAUGUAAUGGAGUCCUUGUAGCUUGCUACGACUCGUCUACAUUCGCCGAUGACCGACACCUGCUUUGUUGGGUCAUGUAUGCCUGUCCUUGUGCGGUACUGCCACUUUGGUUUAUGACUAGACAUGUCGAUCCGGGUUCUUUGACAUUGGAUUGCUAGCGACACUAUCGCAUACGUGAGUCAAAAGACGCAAACGGUCCCGGCUAAGGUAAGGCUGCAGCCGUGGAGUUAACCGUGCGUGAGACCACAAAGGGAUGCGAUGUGUUACAGGCUAGAUUCCUAUGGCUUAGGAUCGAGGUCCCGACACUUUAAAAUAUCCAUUUGUACUUAACGGUCUUACGACCAUCAAGUAGUUCUUCCAAAGUCUACACUUUGUUUUCAUACAUGGAUCCUCUCUCGGAUUUCAUGGCCUCCAGCCAUUUAUCGGAAUUCGAGCCCACCAUCGCUUCUCCAUAGCUCGUAGGUUCAUUGUUGUUCAACAACAUGACCUCCAAGACAGGGUCACCGUACCACUCUGUAGCAGUACGCGACCUUGUCGACCUACGAGGUUUGUAGUAGCUUGAUCAGAAGCUUAAUGAUCACAAUCAUUAGUUUCCACUUCAAUUUGCGUAGGCGCCACAUGAACAAAUUCCUGCGCCCUGCUACACACUAGUUGAAGUGAUGGUUCAAUAACCUCAUCAAGUUCCACCAUCCUCCCACUCAGUUCUUUCGAGAGAAACUUUUCCUCGAGAAAGGACCCGUUUCUAGAAACAAACACUUUGCUUCCGGAUCUGAGAUAGGAGGUAUACCCAACUAUUUUGGGUGUCCUAUGAAGAUGCGUUUAUCCGCUCUGGGUUCGAGCUUAUCAUGCUGAAACUUUUCCACAUGAGCAUCGCAGCCCCAAACUUUUAAGAAACGACAGCUUAGGUUUCUCCAAACCAUAGUUCAUACGGUGUCAUCUCAACGGAAUUACGUGGUACCCUAUUUAAAGUGAAUGUGGUUGUCUCUAAUGCCUAACCCAAAACGAUAGUGGUAUUUCGAUAAGAGACAUCAUAGUAUGCACCAUAUCAAAUAGGGCGCGGCUAUGACAUUCAGACAAACCAUCACACUAUGGUGUUCUAGGUGGCAUGAACUGCAAAACAAUUUCCACAUUGUCUUAACCGUGUACCAAAACUCGCAGCUCAGAUAUUCAUCUCUAUGAUCAUAUCGUAGACAGUUUAUCCUCUUGUCACGAUGAUCUUCACUCUGGAAUAGCUUUGAACUUUUCAAUAUUUCAGACUUGUGAUUCAUCAAGUAAAUACUCAUGUAUCUACUCAAAUCAUCAGUGAAGUGAGAACAUAACGAUAUCCACUGCGUGCCUUAGCACUCAUUGGACUGCACAUAUCAAAAAUCUAUUGCAUCCAACAAGUUACUUUCUUGUUCCAUGUGGUAUGAUUUUGCAUGUCUCAAGUGAGUUAAAAUCAAGUGAUUCCAAACGAUCCAUCUGCAUGGAGUUUCUUCAUGCGUUUAUACCAACAGGUAUGGUUUCCAUGUCUCAAACGUUUCAAAAAUGAGUGAGUACAAAGAUCCAUAAGCAUGGAGUUUCUUCAUGCAUUUUACACCAACAUGACUCAAGCGGCAGUGCCACAAGUAAGUGGUUCUAUCAUUAUUACUUUGUAUCUUUUGGCACCACUAUUAUGAAUAUGUGUAACACUACGAUCGAGAUUCAAUAAAUCAUUGAAGGUAAUUAUUCAAGAAAAUAGAAUAACCAUUAUUCUCUUUAAAUGAAUAAUCGUAUUGCAAUAAACACGAUCCAAUCAUGUUCAUGCUCAAAGCAAACACCAAAUAACAAUUAUUUAGGUUUAACACCAAUCCCGAUGGUAGAGGGAGCGUGCGAUGUUUUGAUCACAUCAACCUUGGAAACACUUUCAACACGUAUCGUCACCUCGCCUUUAGCUAGUCUCCGUUUAUUUCGUAGCUUUUAUUUCGAGUUACCAAUCACUUAGCAACCGAACCGGUAUCUAAUACCCUCGUGCUACUAGGAGUACUAGUAAAGUACACAUCAAUAUCAUGUAUAUCAAAUAUACUUCUGUUGACUUCGCCAGCCUACUCAUCUACCAAGUAUAUAGGGUAGCUCCGCCUCAGUGACCGUUCACCUCAUAACAAAAGCACUUAAUCUCGGGUUUGGGUUCAAUCUUGGGUUUCUUCAUUAGAGCAGCAACUGGUUUGUCGUUUCAUGAAGUAUCUCUUCUAGCCCUUGCCCUUCUUGAAACUAGUGGUUUUACUAACCAUCAACAAUUGAUGCUCCUUCUUGAUUUCUACUUUCGUAGUGUCAAACAUUGUGAAUCGCUCAAGGAUCAUCAUAUAUAUCCUUGAUAUGUUAUAGUUCAUCACGAAGCUCUAGCAGCUUGGUGGCAGUGACUUUGGAGAACCAUCACUAUCUCAUCUGGAAGAUUAACUCCCACUUGAUUCAAGCGAUUGUUAUACUGAGCACAUGCUCAACGAUUGAGCUUUUCUCCUUUACUUUGUAGACAAAGAAUCUUGUUGGAGGUCUCAUACCUUUCAACAAGGGCACGAGCAUGAAAUCUCAAUUUCAUAUCUUAGAACAUCUUUUAUGUUCCGUGACGUUUCAAAAUGUCUUCGGCGUCUUGCAUCUAAGCCAUUAAGUAUUACGCACUGAACUAUCACGUAGUCAUGAAAAAUGUGUAUGUCAGAUGUUCGCAACAUCCACAGACGACGCUUGAGGUGCAGCACACCGAGUGGUGCAUUAAGGACAUAAGCCUUCUACGCAGCAAUGAGGACAAUCCUCAGUUUUACGUACUCAGUCCGCAAAGUUACUACUAUCAUCUUUCAACUAAAUUUUCUCUAGGAACAUAUAAAAAAACAGUAGAGCUAUAGCGCAAGCUACAUCAUAAUUCGCAAAGACCUUUUGACCAUGCUCAUGAUAAUUAGUUCAAUUAAUCAUAUUACUUAAGAACUCCCACUCAAAAAAUACAUCCCUCUAGUCAUUUCAGUGGUGCAUGAUCCAAAUCCACUAACCCAAGUCCGAUCAUCACGUGAGUUGCGUAUAGUUUCAGUGGUAAACAUCUCUAUGCUAAUCAUAUCAACUAUAUGAUUCAUGCUCGACCUUUCGGUCUCUUGUGUUCCGAGGCCAUGUCUGCACAUGCUAAGCUCGUCAAGUUUAACCCGAGUGUUCCGCGUGUGCAACUGUUUUGCACCCGUUGUAUGCGAACGUUGAGUCUAUCACACCCGAUCAUCACGUGGUGUCUCGAAACGACGAACUGUCGCAACGGUGCAUAGUCGGGGAGAACACAAUUUUAUCUUGAAAUUUUAGUGAAGGAUCACGUUAUAAUGCUACCAUCGUUCUAAGAAAGAUAAGGUGCAUAAAAGGAUUAACAGCACAUGCAAUUCAUAAGUGACAUGAUAUGGCCAUGAUCUUGUGCUUCUUGAUCUCCAUCACCAAAGCACCGACAUGAUCUUCAUCGUCACCGGCACCACACCAUGAUCUCCACCAUCGUGCCGCCAUCGAGGUUGUCGUGCUAUAUACGCUAUCACUACUAAAGCUACAACCUAGCGAUAUAGUAAACGCAUAUGCAAACACAAACGUUAGUUUAAAGACAACCUUAUGGAUCCUGCCAGUUGCCGUAGCAUCGACGUGCAAGUCGAUAUUUAACUAUUACAAAAUGAUCAUCUCAUACAUCCAAUAUAUCACAUCAUGUCUUUGGCCAUAUCACAUCACAUGCAUACCCUGCAAAAACAAGUUAGACAUCCUCUAAUUUGUUGUUGCAUGUUUUACGUGGCUCCUAUGGGUAUCUAGUAUGAUCGCAUCUUACUUACGCAUAGCCACAACGGUAAUAUGCAAAUUGCUAUUUAACCUUUCUCCAAGGACCGCCUCGGUCAAAUCCGAUUCAACUAAAGUUGAAGAAACAGACACCCGCCAGUCAUCUUUAUGCAACAAGUUGCAUGUUAGUCGAUGAAACCGGUCUCUUGUAAGCGUACGAUUAAGGUUGGUUUGGGCCGCUUCAAUCCAACAAUACCGCCGAAUCGAGAAAAUACUAAGGAGGGCAGCAAAUUGAACAUCAAUGCCCACAAAAACUUGUUUGUUCUACUCGAGAUUACAUCUACGCAUGAACCUAGCUCAUGAUGCCACUAUUGGGGAACGUUUCAUGGGAAACUAAAAAAUUCCUACACACACGAAGACCUAUCAUGGUGAUGAUCAUCUACGAGAGGGAGAUCGGGUCCACAUACCCUUGUAGAUCGCUAAGUGGAAAUGUUAAGAAACGUGUAUGAUGUAGUGGUAUGUCUUCACGAUCCGUCCCACGAACCGUCUCACGAUCCGUCCCGAUCAAGUGUUGAACGGACGGCACCUCCGCGUUCCGCACACGUACAGCUCGAUGACGAUCUCCGCCUUCUUGAUCCAGCAAGAGGGGCGGAGAGGUAGAUGAGUUCUCCAGCAUGGCGAUGUGGUGGUGGUGUUGGUGGUGCUAUUCCAGCAGGGCUUCGCCUAAGCACCGCUGAAACUAGAGGAGAAACAGAUCUAGAGAGAGAGGGCAGCACGUGGCUGUUUCUGUUGUCCAAAAACCCUCAAAACCCUUAGUAUAUAUAGGAGGAGAGGAGGGAGAGGGUUGCGCCCUAGAGCAACCUUCUCUUCCCUUGCGCAAGGGAGAGGAGGAGGAGUCCUACUCCAAUCCUAUUUGGAGUAGGAUUCCUCCUUCCCACUUGGAAACUCUUUCCACCUUGUGUUUUUCCUUCUCAAACCUUAUGGGUCUUAGUGGGAACUUAUUCGAGCCCACUAGGGGAUGGUUUAUCUCUUGCCACAGCCCAUAAGGCCUCUUGGGGCGUGACACCCCUCCCGAUGGUCCCCGGCACACCUCCCGGCACUCCCGGUACACUACCGAUGAGCCCGAAACUUUUCCCGUGACCAAAACAGGACUCCCUAUAUAUCAAUCUUCAUUUCCGGACCAUUCUGGAAACCUUCGUGAUGUACGGGAUCUCAUCCGGCACUCUGAACAACCUUCGGUCACCAACACAUAUAACUUAACUAUACCGAAACAUCACCGAACUUUAAGUGUGUAGACCCUGCGGGUUCGAGAACUAUGUAGACAUGACCUGAGACACUCUUCGGUCAAUAACCAACGGCGGGACCUCGAUGUUCAUAUUGGCUCCUACAUAUUCUACGAAUAUCUCUAUCGGUUGAACCUCUAUGUCAAGGAUUAAUAUAAUCCCGUAUACUAUUCCCUUUGUCCUUCGGUAUGUUACUUGCCCGAGAUUCGAUCGUUGGUAUCUCCAUACCGAGUUCAAUCUCGUUACCGGCAAGUCUCUUUACUCGUUCCAUAAUACAAGAUCUCGUGACUAACUCCUUAGUCAUAUUGCUUGCAAGGCUUGUUGUGAUGUUGUAUUACCGAGUGGGCCCCCUAGAUACCACUCCGUCACAUGGAGUGACAAAUCACAGUCUUGAUCCAUGCCAACCUAAUAGACACCUUUGGAGAUACGUGUAGAGCACCUUUAUGGUCACCCAGUUAUGUUGUGACGUUUGAUACACACAAGGCAUUCCUCCGGUGUCCGGGAGUUGUGAUACGUCCAUUUUGCAUCAUGUUUUCAUGUUGAUAUUUAUUGCUUCUUGGGAUGUUAUAUUACUUGUGGUGCCAUAUUUAUGCCUUUUCGCUCUUAUUUUGCAAGGAUUAUUUGAAGAGGGAGAAUUCAGGCAGCUGGAAUUCUGGACUAGAAAAGGAGCAAAUCCUAGUCCACUAUUCUGCACAUCUCCAAAUGCCCUGAAAAUUUUCGUGGAUUUUUUCUAGAAUAUAUUAAAAAUACUGGGCGAAAGAACUACCAGAGGGGGCCACCAGGGCCCCACAAGCUUGCCCACCGCCGCCGCCCCCCUGGUGGCGCACGGCAGGCUUGUGGGCAGCCCACUGGCCCACUAGCCCCCCUCUUUUGCUAUAUGAUGCGUCCUGACCUGGAGAAAAUCAUACAGGAGCUUUUUCGUGGUUUCCCCGCCGCCACAGGGCGGAACUUGAGUAGAUCCAAUCUAGAGCUCCGGCAGGACGAUCUUGUCGGGGAAAUUUCCCUCCCGGAGGGGGGAAUCAUCACCAUCUUCAUCACCAACACUCCUCUCAGCGGAGGGGAGGCAUCUUCAUCAACAUCUUCAUCGGCACCAUCUCUUCUCCAAUCCCUAGUUCAUCUCUUGUAACCAAUCUUCGUCUCGCAACUCAGAUUAGUACUUGUAAGGUUGCUAGUAGUGUUGAUUACUCUUUGUAGUUGAUGCUUGUUGGAUUACUUGGUGGAAGAGUUUAUGUUCAGAUCCUUGAUGCUAUUCAUUACACCUCUGGUCAUGAUUAUGAUUAUAUCUUGUGAGUAGUUACUUUUGUUCCUAAGGACAUGGAAUAAGUCAUGCUGAUAAUAGUCAUGUGAAUUUGAUAUUCGUUCAGUAUUUUGAUAUGAUGUAUGUUGUUUUUCCUCUAGUGGUGUUAUGUGAACGUGGACUACAUAACACUUCACCAUAUUUGAGCCUAGAGGAAGGCAUUGUGAAGUAGUAAGUAGAUGAUGGGUUGCUGGAGUGACAGAAGCUUAAACCCCAGUUUAUGCGUUGCUUCGUGAGGGGAUGAUUUGGAUCCACUAGUUUAAUGCUAUGGUUAGACUUUGUCUUAAUUCUUCUUUUGUAGUUGCGGAUGCUUGCUAGAGAGGUUAAUCAUAAGUGGGAUGCUUGUCCAAGUAAGGUCAGUACCCAAGCGCCGGUCCACCCACAUAUCAAACUAUCAAAGUAACGAACGCGAAUCAUAUGAACAUGAUGAAACUAGCAUGACAGAAAUUCUCAUGUGUCCUCGGGAGCAUUUUUCCUCCUAUAUGACUUUGUUCAGGCUUGUCCCUUGCUACAAAAGGGAUUGGGCCACUUGCUGCACCGUUGCUACUACUUGUUAUUUGUUACUCUUUGCUUGCUACGUUUCACCUCGCUACACAAUCACUUGUUACCGCUACUUUCAGUGCUUGCAGUUAUUACCUUGCUGAAAUUCGUUUAUCACAGCCUUCUGCUCCUCGUUGGGUUCGACAAUCUUACUUAUAGAAAGGACUAUGAUUGAUCCCCUAUACUUGUGUUGGAAAUAUGCCCUAGAGGCAAUAAUAAAUUAGUUAUUAUUAUAUUUCUUUGUUCAUGAUAAUCGUUUCUUAUCCAUGCUAUAAUUGUAUUGAUUGGAAACACAGUGCAUGUGUGGAUACACAGACAAAACACAGUCCCUAGUAAGCCUCUAGUUGACUAGCUCGUUGAUCAAAGAUGGUCAAGGUUUCCUGACCAUAGGCAAGUGUUGUCACUUGAUAACGGGAUCACAUCAUUAGGAGAAUCAUGUGAUGGACUAGACCCAAACUAAUAAGACGUAGGAUGUUGAUCGUGUCAUUUUGUUGCUAUUGUUUUCUGCGUCUCAAGUAUUUGUUCCUAUGACCAUGAGAUCAUAUAACUCACUGACACCGGAGGAAUGCUUUGUGUGUAUCAAACGUUGCAACGUAACUGGGUGACUAUAAAGAUGCUCUAUAGGUAUCUCCGAAGGUGUUCGUUGAGAUAGUAUGGAUCGAGACUGGGAUUUGUCACUCCGUGUGACGGAGAGGUAUCUCGGGGCCCACUCGGUAAUACAACAUCACNNNNNNNNNNNNNNNNNNNNNNNNNNNNNNNNNNNNNNNNNNNNNNNNNNNNNNNNNNNNNNNNNNNNNNNNNNNNNNNNNNNNNNNNNNNNNNNNNNNNNNNNNNNNNNNNNNNGGUAAACGAGAUUGAAAUAGGUAUGCGGAUACUGACGAUCGAAUCUCGGGCAAGUAACAUACCGAAGUACAAAGGGAAUGACAUACGGGAUUAUAUGAAUCCUUGGCACCGAGGUUCAAACGAUAAGAUCUUCGUAGAAUAUGUAGGAUCCAAUAUGGGCAUCCAAGUCCCGCUAUUGGAUAUUGACCGAGGAGUCACUCGGGUCAUGUCUACAUAGUUCUCGAACCCGCAGGGUCUGUACACUUAAGGUUCGACGUUGUUUUAUGCGUAUUUGAGUUAUAUGGUUGGUUACCGAAUGUUGUUCGGAGUCCCGGAUGAGAUCACGGACAUCACGAGGGUUUCCGGAAUGGUCCGGAAACAAAGAUUGAUAUAUAGGAUGACCUCAUUUGAUUACCGGAAGGUUUUCGGAGUUACCGGGAAUAUACCGGGAAUGACGAAUGGGUUCCUCGGAAUGUACCAGGAAUGACGAAUGGGUUCCGGGUGUUCACCGGGGGGGCAACCCACCCCGGGGAAGCCCAUAGGCCUUGGGGGUGGCGCACCAGCCCUUAGUGGGCUGGUGGGACAGCCCAAUAAGGCCCUAUGCGCCAUAGGAAGAAAAUCAAAGAGAAAAAGGAAAAAAGAAAAGGGGAGGUGAGAAAAAGGGGAAGGACUCCACCUUCCAAACCUAGUUGGAUUCGGUUUGGAAGGGGAGGACUCCCCCCCUUGGCUCGACCGACCCCCAAGGCAAGGCCCCCCUCUCCCACCUAUAUAUACGGAGGUUUUAGGGUUGAUUUGAGACAACUUUGCCACGGCAGCCCGACCACAUACCACCAUGGUUUUACCUCUAGAUCGCGUUUCUGCGGAGCUCGGGUGGAGCCCUGCUGAGAUUAGAUCACCACCAAACUCCGGAGCGCCGUCAUGCUGCCCGAGAACUCAUCUACCUCUCCGUCUCUCUUGCUGGAUCAAGAAGGCCGAGAUCAUCGUCGAGCUGUACGUGUGCUGAACGCGGAGGUGCCGUCCGUUCGGCACUAGAUCGUGGGACGGAUCGCGGGACGGUUUGCGGGGCGGAUCGAGGGACGUGAGGACGUUCCACUACAUCAACCGCGUUUCUUAACGCUUCUGCUGUGCGAUCUACAAGGGUACAUAGAUCAAAUAUCCCCUCUCGUAGAUGGACAUCACCAUGAUAGGUCUUCGUGCGCGUAGGAAAAUUUUUGUUUCCCAUGCGACGUUCCCCAACAACUUGUGGGUCAUCAAGACUCUUUUCUGGCGCCGUUGCCGGGGAGUGAAGCGCCUUUGGUAAGUGGAAAUUGGUAAGGAAACAAUUUUAUACUGUGCUGAAAUUUAUUGUCACUUGUCACUAUGGAAACUCUUCCUUUGAGGAGUUUGUUCGGGGUAUCUUCACCAUGAACGGAAGCACGAGGAUUUGCUCCUCAACCUGAGGUACCUACUGAAAAUAUCUUUUAUAAAAUUCCUUUGGGUAUGCUUGAGAAAUUGCUGGCUAAUCCUUUUACAGGAGAUGGAUCUUCACAUCCAGACUUUCAUCUAAUCUAUGUAGAUGAAGUUUGUGGUUUAUUUAAGCUUGCAGGUUUGCCCGAGGAUGAGGUAAAGAAGAAACUCUUUCCUUUAUCUUUGAAGGAUAAGGCAUUGACAUGGUAUAGGCUAUGUGAUGAUACUGGAUCAUGCAGCUACAAUCGGUUGAAAUUGGAAUUUCAUCAAAAGUUCUAUCCCAUGCAUUUAGUAUAUCAUGAUCGGAACUUUAUUUAUAACUUUUGGCCUCGUGAUAGGGAAAGCAUAGCUCAAGCUUGGGGGAGGCUUAAAUCAAUGCUAUAUUCAUGCCCCAAUCAUGAGCUCUCGAGAGAAAUCAACACUCAAAACAUUUAUGCUCGGAUUUCUCAUGAAGAUCGUACCAUGCUUGAUACUUCUUGUGCCGGUUCUUUUAUGAAGAAGAAUAUUGAUCACAAGUGGAAUUUAUUGGAGAGAAUCAAACGCAACUCUGGAGAUUGGGAGCUGGAGGAAGGUAAGGACUCAGGUAUGAAUUUCUAUUUUGAUUGCGUUAAAUCUUUUGUUGAGACAAACACUUCUAGAGAGCGCUAAGUAUGGACUUGACUCUGAGAUAGUAGCUUCUCUUUGUAAAUCUUUUGCUGCUCAUGUUGAUCUUCCCAAAGAGAAGUGGUUUAAAUAUCAUCCUCCUGUAGAAAGCAACAUAGCCAAAACCAAUCUAGUUGAGGAGAAAAUCAUAGCUUUUAGUGAUCCUGUUGUUCCUUGUGCUUACACUGAGAAACCACCAUACCCUGCUAGGAUGAAGGAUUAUUCUAAAGCUCCAACUGUGAUACGUAGGGGUUACAUUAGACCACUUGCACCCCCUGAAGAGAUUAGAGUUGAACCUAGUGUUGCUAUUAUCAAAGAUCUCUUAGCCAAAGAGAUAGAUGGGCAUGUUAUCAAAUUCUGUGAGGACUCCGCUAGAAUUGCUAAACCUCACGCGAAAGACAAGCACGGACCUGUAGUUGGCCUGCCCGUUGUUUCUGUUAAGAUAGGAGAUCACUGUUACCAUGGUUUAUGUGAUAUGGGAGCUAGUGUUAGUGCAAUACCCCGUUCUCUAUAUGAUGAAAUCAAAGAUGAGAUUGCACCAGCUGAGAUAGAACCCAUUGAUGUCACUAUCACGCUAGCUAAUAGAGACACUAUAUGCCCUUUGGGAAUUGUGAGAGAUGUAGAAGUCCUGUGUGGUAAGACGAAGUAUCCUACUGAUUUCCUCGUCCUUGGUACUACACAAGAUAGCUUUUGUCCCAUCAUAUUCGGUAGACCCUUUCUCAACACUAUCAAUGCUCACAUUGAUUGCAUUAAGCAGACUGUCAUAGUAAGUUUCGAGGGUGUGUCUCAUGAAUUUAACUUCUCCAAGUUUGGAAGACAACCCCAUGAAAGAGAUUCAUCUGGUAGGGAUGAAAUCAUUGCUCUUUCCUCUAUUGCCAUACCUCCUACGAAUCCUUUAGAGCAAUAUCUGCUUGAGCAUGAAAAUGAUAUGCAUACGGAGGAGAGAGAUGAGAUAGAUAGAAUUGUCUUAGAACAAUGUCCUAUUCUCAAGAAUAAUCUGCAUGUUGAACUGCUUGGGGAUCCUCCCCCACCAAAGGGUGAUCCUGUGUUCGAGCUUAAACAGUUGCCUGAUACUCUUAAGUAUGCCUAUCUUGAUGAGAAGGAGAUAUAUCCUGUCAUUAUUAGUGCUCUCCUCUCAGAGCGUGAAGAGAAGAAGUUACUAAAAACUCUGAGGAAGCACCGCGCUGCUAUUGGAUAUACUCUUGAUGAUCUUAAGGGUAUUAGUCCUACUCUAUGUCAGCACAAGAUUAAAACCGAUCCUGACUUUAAACCAGUUGCUGAUCAUCAAAGGAGAUUAAAUCCUAAGAUGAAAGAGGUCGUUAGAAAAGAAAUAUUAAAGCUUCUGGAAGCAGGAAUCAUUUAUCCUAUUGCUCAUAGUGAUUGGGUAAGUCCAGUACAUUGCGUACCUAAGAAGGGAGGUAUCACCGUCGUUCCUAAUGAUAAGGAUGAACUAAUCCCACAAAGGAUUAUUACCGGCUAUAGAAUGGUGAUAGACUUCCGGAAACUGAACAAGGCAACCAGGAAAGAUCAUUAUCCUUUGCCGUUCAUCGACCAAAUGCUAGAAAGGCUAUCAAAGCACACACACUUUUGCUUUCUAGACGGUUAUUCAGGUUUCUCGCAAAUACCUGUUGCAUAAUUUGAUCAAGAGAAAACCACCUUCACCUGCCCUUUCGAUACCUUUGCCUAUAGAUGUAUGCCUUUUGGCUUAUGUAAUGCACCUGCCACCUUUCAAAGAUGUAUGAUGGCUAUAUUCUCUGACUUUUGUGAAAAGAUUGUCGAGGUUUUCAUGGAUGACUUCUCCAUUUACGGGUCUUCCUUUGAUGAUUGCCUCAGCAACCUUGAUCGAAUCUUACAGAGAUGCGAAUAAACCAACCUCGUCUUGAAUUGGGAGAAGUGCCACUUUAUGGUUAAUGAAGGUAUCGUCUUAGGACACAAAAUCUCUGAAAGAGGCAUUGAAGUUGAUAAGGCUAAGGUUGAUGCAAUUGAGAAAAUGCCUUGCCCCACAGAUAUCAGAGGUAUACGAAGUUUCCUAGGUCAUGCUGAUUUCUAUAGAAGGUUCAUUAAAGACUUCUCUAAGAUUUCUAGGCCUCUUACCAACCUCUUGCAGAAGGAUGUUCCUUUUGUUUUUGAUGAGGAUUGUGAGGAAGCCUUCGAAAUACUUAAGAAGGCUUUGAUAACCGCACCUAUUGUUCAACCACCUGACUGGAACUUUCCCUUUGAAAUCAUGUGUGACGCUAGUGAUUAUGCUGUUGGUGUUGUUCUAGGACAAAGAGUUGACAAGAAGUUGAAUGUCAUUCACUACGCUAGUAAAACUCUAGACAGUGCCCAAAGGAACUAUGCCACUACGGAGAAGGAAUUUUUAGCACUCGUGUUUGCAUGUGAAAAAAUCAGAUCUAACAUAGUUGACUCCAAGGUCACUAUUCACUCUGAUCAUGCUCCUAUUAAGUACCUUAUGGAGAAGAAGGACGCUAAGCCUAGGCUUAUCAGAUGGGUUCUCCUGCUACAGGAAUUUGAUUUGCACGUCAUUGACCGAAAGGGUGCUGAUAACCCUGUAGCAGAUAACUUGUCUAGGCUAGAGAAUGUCCUUGAUGACCCACUACCAAUUGAUGACAGCUUUCCUGAUGACCAAUUAAAUGUCAUCCGCACUUCACUUAGUGCACCAUGGUAUGCCGAUUAUGCAAACUAUAUCGUAGCCAAAUACAUACCACCCAGUUUCACCUAUCAACAAAAGAAGAAAUUCUUCUUUGAUUUGAGACACUACUUUUGGGAUGAUCCUCACCUUUAUAAGGAAGGAGUAGAUGGUGUUAUUAGACGUUGUGUGCCUGAACAUGAACAGGGACAGAUCCUGCAGAAGUGUCAUUCCGAAGCCUACGGAGGACACCACGCUGGAGAUAGAACUGCCCAUGAGGUAUUGCAAUCAGGUUUCUAUUGGCCCACUCUCUUCAAGGAUGCUCGUAAGUUUGUCUUGUCUUGUGACAAAUGCCCAAGGAUAGGGAACAUCAGUAAGCGUCACAAGAUGCCUAUGAACUAUUCACUUGUCAUUGAACCAUUUGAUGUCUGGGGCUUUGAUUAUAUGGGACCCUUCCCGAGUUCCAGUGGGUACACUCACAUCUUAGUUGUUGUGGAUUACGUUACUAAGUGGGUAGAAGCUAUCCCCACUAAAAAUGCUGAUCACCACAACUCUAUUAAGAUGCUUAAAGAAGUUAUAUUCCCAAGAUUUGGAGUCCCUAGAUACUUGAUGACUGAUGGCGGUUCACACUUCAUUCAUGGUGUUUUCCGCAAGAUGCUAGCUAAGUAUGAUGUCAACCAUAGAGUUGCAUCUCCUUAUCAUCCUCAGUCUAGUGGUCAAUUGGAGUUGAGUAAUAGGGAGAUCAAGUUGAUCUUACAAAAGACCGUCAAUAGAUCCCGAAAGAACUGGUCUAGCAAACUUGACGAUGCACUAUGGGCUUAUAGGACUGCUUAUAAAAAUCCCAUGGGCAUGUCACCGUAUAAAAUGGUUUACGGUAAGGCCUGUCAUUUACCUCUUGAGUUGGAACACAAAGCUUAUUGGGCAAUCAAAGAGCUCAACUUUGAUUUCAAACUUGCCAGUGAGAAGCGGUUGUUUGAUAUCAGCUUGUUGGAUGAAUGGAGAGCCCAGGCAUAUGAGAAUACCACGUCGUCAAGGAAAAGGUUAAGAGAUGGCACGACAAACGAAUACAGAAACGAGAGUUCAAUGUAGGUGAUUAUGUCUUGCUAUACAAUUCUCGUUUGAGAUUCUUUGGAGGCAAGCUUCUCUCUAAAUGGGAAGGUCCCUACGUUGUCGAGGAAGUAUAUCGUUCCGGUGCCAUCAAAAUCAAUAAUACAAGGAAAUUUUCCUAGAGUGGUAAAUGGGCAAAGAAUCAAGCAUUACAUCUCUGGUACUCCCAUAAAUGUUGAGACCAAUAUCAUCAAUGUCAUAACUCCACAGGAGUACAUAAGGGAUGUUUAUCAGCCUGUUUCAGACCUUGAAAACGAAGAUGUAUCUGUUUCGGCAAGAAAUUGGACUCCGAUACUUUUCCAAUAGGAAAUUUCCUCAGUUUUGGAAUUUUUGGAAAAUUAGAAAAAUAAAAAAGCAGUCCGGAGAGCAAACGAGGAAGCCACAAGGGCCCACUCCGCCACCACCCCCUGGUGGCGGUGGGCAAGCUUGUGGGCACCUUGUGUGCCUCCCGGACUCCGUUUUCUUGCAGAGGACUCCUUCUGGCCCAGAAAAAAUCAAUAUAUAGUUGCCCGAAGGUUUUGAUCUUCAUAUCGCGUAGUUUUCCUCUGUUUUCGUUUCGAGCUUGUUUCUGCCGCAGAUCUAGAUCAUCAUGACUUCCCCAAACGCUCCUAAGGACAAGAUCUUGGAGAAGGUCAUCAAUCCCUACCUCACGGAAGUGCUAAAACACCAUCAAUCUAUCAAGAUGAGCGAGGGGAUGUUGCACAUCCGUGAUGUUGAGGGGCCUAAGAAGACCGGAAGCAUGGAGACGAGGCUCGAAGUAGUGGAGCAACAAGUCUUCAUGUGCCAAGGGAUGGUUGAGCGUGGACUCAACGCCAACCACACGAUGAUCACGGAGUUCACUAGCAAUCACAAGAUGGAUGUCAUUGAUAUCGGGAAACACCUCUCCAGACUUUACGAUAGGGUUGACCAACUUCAGGGCCAAAUCUAUGACCUGCAGAAUCAAAACUGUGAGUAUGGGUAUAGAUUUAAAUCAAUAAGGUUGGCUGCAGAUUUGAGGAUUUCGGCUACUCGUUCAUCCUGCCAUGAUGGAGCACCUAUGCCUUGGAAGACGGAGGAUCAGACUACUCCAACAACACCACCAUCAUCACCAAAGGAAGACAACUAAGCAUUGGUAUGGGCAAUCCCCUUGGCUUCUGCCGAGCUUGGGGGAGUUGCCCUGGUAUCAUAUCACCUUUAUAUCUUUUGCUUUUACCUUUGUUUUAGUUCUUUCCCUUUCAGUUUUUAUUUCUUCUUUUAGAGGAAUAAGUCUUUAGUUUUUAGUUUGAGUCUUUUGCUUUUGGUCUCUCCCCCGAUGUAUUCGAGCUUACGAGCUAUAUAAUAAAGAGUGUCUUAGUCAAAGGGCUUUGCUUUGUGCCAUGAUCAAAAGUAUGAAAAGAACGAUAGCAUGAAAGAUCAUGAGACGAUCUUAUGGAAAGUGAUAACUUCACUUAUGACACGUAUGAUGAUUGAAACUUGUCGAGAAUAAAUCAACACAUACCUCAGUCAUUGUUGCAAUUAAUAAGAAGUAAUAAGGAAAGAGAGGUUCACAUAUAAAUAUAUCAUCUUAGACACUUUCUACAAUUGUGAGCACUCACCAAACUAUUACAUGCCUAGGAGUAGAUGUUGGACAAGGAAGACAACAUAAUGAAUUGUGUUUGCUUGGUUCCAAACAAUGUUAUAUGAUUAGAGAUCCCUUAGCAUGUGACGAUUGCUUCCACCUCAUAUUAGCCAAAACUUCCGCACCAAGUAGAGAUACUACUUGUGCAUCCAUAAACCUUCAACCCAGUUUUGCCAUGAGAGUCCACCAUACCUACCUAUGGAUUGAAUAAGAUCCUUCAAGUAAGUUGUCAUCGGUGCAAGCAAUAAAAAUUGCUCUCUAAUAUGUAUGAUCUAUUAGUGUGUGGAAAAUAAGCUUUGUACGAACCUGUGAUGAGGAAGACAUAAAAGCGACAGACUGCAUAAUAAAGUUCUUUGUCACAGGAGGCAAUAUAAAGUGACGUUCCUCCGCACUAAGAGGACACGCAUUCAAACCUCAAAAGUGCAUGACAACCUCUGCUUCCCUCUGCGAAGGGCCUAUCUUGUACCUUUACUUUUACCCUUGUAAGAGUCAUGGUGAUCAUCACCAAUUCCCUUUUUGCCUUCGUCUUGGCUACCGUCACAUGCUUGGAAAAGAUCUAUAUUCAUAUAUCAACUUGGAGUUGAGUACUCAUGCUUUAUUGUUGUUGACUUUACCCUUGAGGUAAACCGUUGGGAGGAAAAACUAUAAGCCCCCAUCUUCCUCUGUGUCGAGCUGAAGCUUUGACACCAUGAGUACCACGUGAGCUAUAAAAAUUGUGGAAAACAAAAGAGAUGAUUGAGUAUGUGGGUUUGCCUUACAAGCUCUUAUUUGACUCUUUCUGAUGUUGUGAUAAAUUGCAAUUGCUUCAAUGAUUAUGGACUAUUGUUGGUUACUUCUCGGUAAGGUUUUUGCUUCAUGCUUUGCUUUGUGAAGGAAUUGUUACUUUCCCAUAAGAAUCUUUAUAUAUAUUGUUGUUCUAUGUGUGAUCAUGAUGCCCUCAUGUCUGUAUUAUGUUUUAUCGACACCUUCGUCCCUCAACAUGUGGACGUGUUUAUGGAACUUGGUUUUCGCUUGAGGACAAGCGAGGUCUAAGCUUGGGGGAGUUGAUACGUCCAUUUUGCAUCAUGUUUUCAUGUUGAUAUUUAUUGCUUCUUGGGAUGUUAUAUUACUUGUGGUGCCAUAUUUAUGCCUUUUCGCUCUUAUUUUGCAAGGAUUAUUUGAAGAGGGAGAAUUCAGGCAGCUGGAAUUCUGGACUAGAAAAGGAGCAAAUCCUAGUCCACUAUUCUGCACAUCUCCAAAUGCCCUGAAAAUUUACGUGGAUUUUUUCUGGAAUAUAUUAAAAAUACUGGGCGAAAGAACUACUGGAGGGGGGCCACCAGGGCCCCACAAGCUUGCCCACCACCACCACCCCCUGGUGGCGCACGGUAGGCUUGUGGGCAGCCCACUAGCCCACUAGCCCCCCUCUUUUGCUAUAUGAUGCGUCCUGACCUGGAAAAAAUCAUACAGGAGCUUUUUCGUGGUUUCGCCGCCACCACGGGGCGGAACUUGAGCAGAUCCAAUCUAGAGCUCUGGCAGGACAAUCCUGCCGGGGAAAUUUCCCUCCCGGAGGGGGGAAUCGUCGCCAUCUUCAUCACCAACACUCCUCUCGUCGGAGGGGAGGCAUCUUCAUCAACAUCUUCAUCAGCACCAUCUCUUCUCCAAUCCCUAGUUCAUCUCUUGUAACCAAUCUUCAUCUCGCAACUCAAAUUGGUACUUGUAAGGUUGCUAGUAGUGUUGAUUACUCUUUGUACUUGAUGCUUGUUGGAUUACUUGGUGGAAGAUUUUAUGUUCAGAUCCUUGAUGCUAUUCAUUACACCUCUGGUCAUGAUUAUGAUUAUGUCUUGUGAGUAGUUACUUUUGUUCCUGAGGACAUGGAAUAAGUCAUGCUGAUAAUAGUCAUGUGAAUUUGAUAUUCGUUCGGUAUUUUGAUAUGAUGUAUGUUGUUUUUCCUCUAGUGGUGUUAUGUGAAUGUCAACUACAUAACACUUCACCAUAUUUGGGUCUAGAGGAAGGCAUUGGAAAGUAGUAAGUAGAUGAUGGGUUGCUGGAGUGACAGAAGCUUGAACCCCAGUUUAUGCGCUACUUCGUGAGGGGUUGAUUUGGAUCCACUAGUUUAAUGCUAUGGUUAGACUUUGUCUUAAUUCUUCUUUUGUAGUUGCGGAUGCUUGCGAGAUAGGUUAAUCAUAAGUGGGAUGCUUGUCCAAGUAAGGGCAGUACCCAAGUGCCGGUCCACCCACAUAUCAAACUAUCAAAGUAACGAAUGCGAAUCAUAUGAACAUGAUGAAACUAGUAUGACAGAAAUUCCCGUGUGUCCUCGGGAGCGUUUUCCUCCUAUAAGACUUUGUUCAGGCUUGUCCCUUGCUACAAAAGGGAUUGGGCCACUUGCUGCACCGUUGCUACUACUUGUUACUUGUUACUCUUUGCUUGCUACGUUUCACCUCGCUACACAAUCACUUGUUACCGCUACUUUCAGUGCUUGCAGUUAUUACCUUGCUGAAAUCCGUUUAUCAGAGCCUUUUGCUCCUCGUUGGGUUCGACACUCUUACUUAUCGAAAUGACUACGAUUGAUCCCCUAUACUUGUGGGUCAUCAAGUUGCGUGAUCACAUGGUCAUAGGAACAGAAACAUUGACAUGCAGAAAAAUAGUAGCAAUAAACUGACACGAUCAUAUGCUACAUUUAUAGUUCGGUUCUUGUCCAUCACAUCAUUCUCCCAAUGAUGUGAUCCCGUCAUCAAGUGACAACACUUGCCUAUGGCCAGGAAACCUUGACCAUCUUUGAUCAACGAGCUAGUCAACUAGAGGCUCACUAGGGACAGUGGGUUGUCUAUGUAUCCACACAUGUAUUUGAGUUUCCAAUCAAUACAAUUCUAGCAUGGAUAAAUAAAUGAUUAUUACGAACAAGGAAAUAUAAUAAUAACCAAUUUAUUAUUGCCUCUAGGGCAUAUUUCCAACAAUUUCUAUGUAAAAGGUGCGGAUAGUACCUCAUUCUCGUCUAUCCCAAGCUGAGGUAUGUCACCGACCCUAUGCUCAUCCAUGCAUACAAAAUUAUCCACUGGAGCCCUGAAUAAUUUUUUAUAGUAUUCAAAGAUAUAUUGUUUGAGAUUCUCAUGUCCCACAAUUGUACCCUCAUCUUGUUCUAGCUGGAUAAUUUUUUUAUUCCUAUGCUUUCCAUUAGCUAUUAGAUGGAAAUGUUGUGUGUUGUCAUCUCCUUGUACCACUUGGAGGACUUUCGCUCUUAGUGCCCACUUCAACUCCUCCUCUCUGAGUAGUUGUUUGAGCUUUAGUUCAGCCUCCAUUUUUCAAUGACCUCUCAUUGUCACCUAAUAACGUUUGUUCGGCUUUUAUGUCUAGUGUGUUUAUAAGUUUAUAAGUUCGACAAGCCUUUGUUUCUUUUUCUUAUAAAUUACACUAUCGUGCUUUUCCCAACCCCUUAAGAAUUGCCUCAGGUGUCUUAUCUUAUUUUGCCACCUGUCAACAUUCGAGUCACCUUCUGUGAAAUAGCCCAUUCUCAAACCCGUCCCUUUCAAACCAUCCCAAUUCGAAAGAAAAAAGGUUUUUAUUUCCCACAUGUGUUGCUUCUCGCGAGUCUACAAACAGUGGGGUAUGAUCAGAGAUAGCUCUUGGUAACUCUCAAACUGUGACGAGAGGGAAUUUCUGCUCCCAUUCCACACUCAUGAGAACCCGGUCCAACUUCUCAAAAGUUGGGUUAGGUAAAGAGUUUGCCCAAGUAAACUUUCUCCCUGAUAGCUCAAUCUCCCACAAAUUAAGGCUCUCGAUGAUUGAAUUAAACAUAAAUGACCAUCUUCCAUCAAAGUUAUCACUGUUUUUCUCAUCCUGCCUCCAGAUUAUAUUAAAAUCGCCCCCUACUAAAAUCGGCAGUCUCUCGUCCCCGCAGAUUCGGACAAGGUCAGCCAAGAAAUCUCUCUUGAACUCAGGCUGGGCCGCCCCAUGCACAUCUACGAGUGCCCAUUGGAACCCGUCAUCUUUGGAGCGAACUCAAAAUUUGACUGCAAAGUCUCCAUACACCACUUUCGUAGUUGUGGUGUCUCGCACCGAACCCCAAGCAAGAUCCCACCUGAUCUUCCUCUUGGAGGUAGACAAUGCCAGUCAAAUUCAGAACCUCCAUACAACGUGUUUAAAAACGAAGCUAUAUAGUUAUCUCUCCCAGUUUCCAUCAAUGCAACGAAAUCCAAUUUGUGCUCAAUAGUUGUUUCAGCUAGGAAUCUUCUUUUAGCCAAGUCUGCUAGACCUCUGCUAUUCCAAAAUGUUCCUUUCAUCGCUCAUCAUGAAAUUUCUUAGCCGUUUUAAAUCUAGCACUACGACGCACAGCUGAAACAGGAUAGACUUUUCUCUUCCAGGUUCUUUUUGGCCUAUCCUGAACCUCCGACCGAUCCACAUAACCGUUGGACUCUUGUGCGUUAGCAUUCGUUUGUGGAGGAGCCUCAUACCCCUCCUGAACGAUAUCAUUUGUGUCUUCAAGCAAAAGGGGGGUGGCACAAGAUCCUCACAUAAACGCUCUAAGGCUCCCAAACCCAAUGCAUUUAUAUCAGAAUCAUUCAUAGGUUUUACGGCUGCAAUUUUUCUGACCAUCUCAAUUGCCCUCUCUGCCUCUAAGUCUAACAUGUCAUUUACCGAUCUAGAUAUCUCCUGGUCUACCAAACGCUAGAAUAAGGCCUAGUAACGGGCCCGACCCAUGCCAUUUUGGCCCAUGACUGCAACCAAACACACCCUUAAGUAACUUCUACAAUAUCCAUCCCCAACUUCCAGAAAUUCUAACACUUAAAAAAUCAAAAUCAAACUAUUGGCAUUUAAAACUUUCAUACAUUUCAUUUCUGAAAAAAAUGGUCUUUUAGAUUUCGAAAUAUCAGUAUUAUAUUUUUUACAAAAUUUAACUUUAAGAAUUUUCAAAAUUAUAAGGAUUCAAAAUUCAAAUGUUUUAGCACUUAAAAAAAUUCAAACUUUAAAAAAAUUGAACUUUCAAAUGUUUUGAAUUUUAAGAAGUGUGAACUUUCAUUUUUUUAUAAAGGAUGGGUUUUAUUUACUCAAAAUAAAGCAUCAAGAGCAUACAAAUACAAUAAGAACACACCCGGCCACUUUAUAACUAGGAUGCACACAACCAACUCAAACUCACACACACAAAAAUACGAUCGGUAAAUAGCAAAGUCAUAUAAGACCAAAGCUAUGUGCGCGGUUGGAAAAAGAAACCAAAGCGACCAUAUUGGCAAUGGACAAACUACAACAAUGACCAUAUCUGCACCAACAAUUUCAUUACACCACACGGACAACGAGGUUCCUCAACAAUGACACCUUCAGAAAGGGAGCGACGCUCAAAUGCCGCUAUCAUCGGAUCCAACCAUCCAAGGUCAGAUGCAAGAUUUUCACUCUGAGAAUCAGUCCAAGCAUGUCCGAGCAAUUCCUUCAAUAAGGUAAUGGCGUAAAAACAUCGCCAUUGCCAGGUACAGCCAACUCGAGUUGGACCUAGGCUUUCACCCGGGAGCUCAAGACCGGGUGCUCGAGAAGCACCACCAUCGAAGUCACUAUGUGUUGUUGCCACUACUUUUCCACAAUCUCAGUAGCUAUAUGCGAUGUGUGACCGCUGAUGCUGCACAACCAUCCCUCUACAUCAAGCCAUCAUCAAUAGUUUCAAUCUCACCGUUGAAGUCAACCAUCGGAUCUCCAAGAUCAAUCAUGAAGACCUUUUGAUGGAUACUACAUCAAUCCGCCGCGAGACCGCCACCGUAGUCAUGGUGGUCACCACACGUUCGUCGUCACGCCCCUAGCAGACCUAAAGGUCCACACCAAGGAACCACGGGUCCACACGCAUGGAGCCAUGGAUGUGUGUGUGGAUCAUGAAACGACCAAUCCAUGGCCAUGGCCAUUAGAUGAGACUAUCCCUGGCUGAUGGCAGGUGUCCAAGCCCUGCCGACAUGGCCACUACACCAUGGGCGCCAUCCCACAUGAAGGAGCCACCAGGCGGAGCAGCGACCACAAGUGAGGCGAGAUCUACACCAGCAAUGGCUGGAUCAUCCAGGUAACUGUCCGCUGGAUCUGUGGUGACAUCGUUGGAGGAAGCACGGGGUAGAGAGUGUGAAUCUGGGUUGGGGGAGAGGGGAAGGUCGGGGAAGAAGAUCCCUGUGGCGGUUGAGUCCCGCCGCCGCUGACAAACUGUCAUCGAUGAUGACGACGAGGAUGGAACAUCGGAGGCGGCCUCGAGUGCUAGGGUUUCUCGCCCCCGGUGUCGCCCUGGAGCAACACGGGAGGCCGAUGGCGAUUUCAUAGGAGAGAGAGAGAGAAGGUUGAGAAAUAGAAUCACAUGGUUGGGCAUGUGAGGAAAGAGAGAGAUGGAAAGAAGCACAUGGAUGAGGCCCCCUCGUCCUAUCUACCACAUGGUAACCUGACACAGUCACAUGCAAUGCUUGCGGCAAUGACCAUGGGCACAGUUCCCACAAGAGAGCAUUCUUAGAGUAAUAGCGAGUCUCAUCCUCAUGUUGGAUGCCUAUAUAAAGCUUCUCCUUUCCAACAUUCAUCAUACGAAUUGGCCAAAAUUUCUUUCUCAUUUGUGAUCUUUCAUCACAUUCAACUUUCCUUUGUAUAUAUUGUUGCUAAGCUUCAAAUUCUAAUCAGCUGGAGCUAAGCAAUGAAUUCUUCAUGCCAUCGAGCAUUCCUCGUGAGGAACAUCUUUUGUACUUUGGAAUGAGUGGUAUCGAGAAAUUAGUCAGGACGACUUUCUGAGGCUGAGGCGCCGCUUUUUUCUGUUCUCGUCUCUGAGACGUUGAGGUGGUAGACAUUUAUGAUAAGUGCAUUUCUUGUUGAGAAUAGCAUCGAUAAUCAUGUCUAGUCUAACAACUUGCUCAUUUAGGACUACCCUGGACAGUGCAACAAGUAAAAUACCAAAUCCUUGUACAAAAACAAGUUGUUGCCCUGUGGUGAGGAGUUGAAGCUAUGGCAUGAACUCGUCCAUGUGUGCGGUAUUUCUCCUUGUUGUUUCCAUCGUCUCUAGAAAUCGCUAAAAAGAUCAAAAACAAUAUCAAACCGUUGACACUAUGUGUCUACCAUCUCACACAAAUUCGAACCCAUAUCCAUCGCAGAUCUCCAAAAACAAACAAACAAGACGGAUCCAGUGUUGAACAGCAUAGCAACUAAUUCAAAUCAGCACAUGAACACAUCAUAUCAUCAGCACCAACACAAGAUUGUUUUUUUUUCUCUUUUCUUCAAACAAUAUCCUGAUUAAGGUUUAAAUAUUCUUGUGGCGUUGUAAAUACAUGUUGUGUGUCAGAGACAUAAUUCUUUUUCAAAUAAAAAAACAUAACUUUUUUUACCACAAAUUUUUCUAGGCUUAUGUGUGUGUAUCUUCCUUGUUUCAGUUCCAAGUGACAAGAGGCAAACUUGUCACGGUUGACUGAAUAGAACAGUAGCAAUCGACCUGCCCGGAGCUUCUAUUUUUUGUAGGUGAUUUUCUCUGUUAAGAGUGACUUCUUCUUUUUUGAGAGUUUUGUUAAGAGUGACAUGAAAUCUGCAUAUGGCGAUCGAGCACGCAUGCCGGCGAUCCCACACGGCGCACCGCAGCCACAAGCCGAUCGCCCCCACAAAAUCUGCCCGACGGCUCCCACCGGGAUGGGAUUCCCCGGUGCCAAUGGCGCGCGCCCACCUCACCCCCUCUUAUCCCCGCCUCACCCACUCGCGCCACGCCCCUUAUCCCCUCCUCUUACAAACCCACACAAACUAAUCAUCGCCCACCACCCUCCAACGAUCACCAACCAAAACCCCUCCACACGCCCGCCCGCGCGCGCCACGGACGCAGCAAUGGCCGCCCUCGCCGCCUCCAUCGCCACCUCCACGGCGUUCGCCGCGAAGCCGCGCCUGUCCCGCCCGCCGGCGCGCCUCUCCGUCUCCUGCUCCGCGUCCAGCGGCGACAACAACAACAGCACCGCCACCCCCUCGCUCUCCGCCUCCAUCAAGACCUUCUCGGCCGCGCUGGCGCUCUCCUCCGUGCUCCUCUCCUCCGCCGCCACCUCCCCGCCCCCCGCGGCUGCCGACAUCGCCGGCCUGACCCCGUGCAAGGAGUCCAAGGCCUUCGCCAAGCGGGAGAAGCAGUCGGUCAAGAAGCUCAACUCGUCGCUCAAGAAGUACGCGCCCGACUCCGCCCCGGCGCUCGCCAUCCAGGCCACCAUCGACAAGACCAAGCGCCGGUUCGAGAACUACGGCAAGUUCGGCCUGCUCUGCGGCUCCGACGGCCUGCCCCACCUCAUCGUCAGCGGCGACCAGCGGCACUGGGGCGAGUUCAUCACCCCCGGCGUGCUCUUCCUCUACAUCGCCGGCUGGAUCGGCUGGGUCGGACGCAGCUACCUCAUCGCCGUCAGCGGCGAGAAGAAGCCCGCCAUGAGGGAGAUCAUCAUCGACGUCGAGCUCGCCGCCAGGAUCAUCCCCAGGGGCUUCAUCUGGCCCGUCGCCGCAUACCGCGAGCUCAUCAACGGCGACCUCGUCGUCGACGACGCCGACAUCGGCUACUAAGAAGCUGCCAUGCGUGCGUGCGUGCGUGGUUGGCUAGUCGGUCCCAAGUCAGGUGAGCUCUGCAUCCAUGCCUGAAUGUGUUCUGCUCUGUCAUGCCAUGCCAUGGCUCAACUGAUUAACUUGUCUUGCGUUCUUGUUUGCUUUGGCAGAUGGGCAGCGGAGGAUGAGGGCUUGUGGUGUCGAUCUGUGUGGGCUUGGUGUAGGAGCUGAUAGGAUCAUGGAGAAAUGGAACCUCUCUUGUAUUUAAGAAACUGAACCCAAUCUUGUAUAACUAUUGUGUUCUCUCUUCACAUGUGUGUAUUUUACCAUUGUUCAAAUUGUUGAGAACGAUUUUAUUAUGCACAGCAUACUAUGAGUGCAACUGCAUCAACAUACAUAGGAAACUCAACUCAGAGAAAAGGUUGAUUUUUGUUAUAAGAAUACAAGCCAAAUAUCUACUGCAGUAGCAAAUUUAACAUACAUGAUCCACAUGGAGCAAUAUGAAAGAUCGGUGCUGCUUCUCACAUUCUCACAACACUAUACAGACUACUCCCCCGGGUCUUAUAAUAUAAGAUAUUAUUACAACAAAUGCACUCACUUGAGCCUCUUAUGGUGUGGAAUAUUUGAGAGAGGGAAACGGCAGAGUUUUGGACAACACUCACAGCACACUGCGAAGAAUCGUAGACCGAAUGAAGGCCGAUCCCAGGCAGUGGGUUGUUUGAUCUUCGCAUAGGUUGUUCGGUCAGCAAGGCUUAAUUAUCAGUUUCUGGUGUAGGUCGUUUUGUAAGGACUGUGUGUUGUUUUCCCUUUGUUUCUUUUCAGUGCAGUCACAAUUUCAUCUGGAGCACCCUUUUGCAACGGGCCAAACUCCAGGAGGUCAUUUCUUGAAUGGGUCGGGAGCUCCUCCCAUGGUGGAUUGUGGCCAGAGUUGCCCUUCAAGGGAAAGAUAAGAAGAAUGCCCGGCUCUGAGAUCAGAGCCCUGGUCGUUUGGGCUACAUGGAGAGGGGAAUGCCUUAACAAUGAAGUCACGCCCUUUUCUUCAGGCCGUGAGCAAGCUUAAAUUAGAAGCUGGUUUUGGCGAGGAAGACUGUAUGCUCUAGGUGUUUCAGAGAAUGAAACAUGUAUAUAUUCAGGUUGUGGGCCGUCGCCAGCAGCAAUGGAUUGGUGAUUAUUCAAGACAGCGGCUGAAUUGAUUCGUAUAUAUGGACAAUAAAACAUGUAUAUUUGGACAGCUCUGACCCUGAAGGUUGCAACCAUGAUUCCAAAAUACACGGGAAAUUCACCUUAGCAAAAAGAUUUAUUAACAUGAUUACACCAAGUUCAGCAAUACAAAUAUUUGCUCCUGGGCAUCCAAGACAAGGCAAGUGCCCUGUUUUUCCAAAAGAUUGUUCUUUAAGAAUACAACACAAAAUGCCUACUGCAACCAGUAGCAAAUUCAGCAACAUGCUGAACAAUAUUGCCUGUUACUACUCACAAGUCACAACACUUUCGAUACUUAUACAAACUACAAAUGCUUAUUCACACAAGAAUACUUGAAUCAAGGAUUGCCACCAUCAUGCUUAGUCUGGUAGAGGAAAGCCUGUUGCAGUGGUCUCUAGUUCAGUCACCAGUAGCCACCAUGAGAUUGGUUGUUGGAAUUCGGCAGUUCUGCUGAAACAAAAGAAACACACCAUCAGCGCAAUUUCAACUUUUAAGCAGACAGGGUUUCAACAGUUUAGUAGAAUGGUAGUCAUCAGUCAAGCAUAUACGCUCUGGUUAUUGUGAAGGUGGACAUCAAUUUGCUAUCAUCAGAAGUUAAAAUUGUCAAGCUCUGUGAUUUAGCAGCUUAGCUUAUAUCAACAGAAGUUAUCACUGUGGUUAUCAUGGGUAUUGAAAACCGCAUACCGUUGUUAGGAGGUAUGAAGCCCUGACCCGCCACAUGUGCUUCUUCUACUACUCCUAGCAGUUCCUGGAAACGCAGGAACAAACAUCAUCAUGACAUAGCAAACGGAGAAAAAAGAUCUAAAGCCAUGUGAUUGCCAUAGACUGAUAUAAUUGGCCUGAGAGAAGAUAACUGGUCUGUUAUAAAGAAAAAUUCCCAUGACACAUCUAACUUAUUGGAAAGAAGCACAUACUUCAAUUGUAUAUAACGCAUUGACGGUCCCAGACUGAUCAUGGUUAAGUGAAGAGGUUCCCUGACUAACUCCACCUGAGGAAGUGCCAACACCAACAUAUCAGGACCCAAUAAUGCAUAAUGGAGAAGUGAUUUGAAUGUCUAGAGCAUUGCCUAUACUAUCACAUUAAGAAAACUAGAUAUAGCAAGCACGCCUCUUACAAGACAAAGAAUUACCAGGAGCAGCAGUCAUCAAGGAGCUUGAGUAUCCAUUGUGUUGGGCAGUUAGAUAUGUACGAGUCAUUGAGUUGUUCUCUUCAGCCUACAUCCAGGAAAUAUUUGAAGUUGGCAAUGAAUUGUUGGAUGGAAUAGUUGAUUCUGUCACAAGUAUCUUUACUUACUGGUGCAAAAUUGUGGGAUUGGCUGAUUGACCAGGCUGAGAAUGAUCCCUGACCAUCGACGUUUCCAUGGGUGAAAUAGGGAGGAAUUCCAUUACACAGUGUAGAAGGAUCCUGCUGAUAUAGUUCUACAGCAAAUUGAUUGCGAAAACUGUGAGUAGCAAUAAUAAUGCUUUUUGCACAGAGGCAGCACUCACAAUGUGGUCUAUGUUUGAUACAAAAUUGGGCAUGUGUUCAGUAUUUACCUUGAUGCGUAACCUGUUCAUGACUGGACUGUGCAAAUGGUGGUCCUUGAUUCGAAGGACCAGCAACAUUGUUUGCAAAGAUCUGUGCCAGUGGGAAUCCACUCUCCUGCAGAAAUGGUUGUUGCUCACCAAAUUCUGCAGUUGUUUGAUUUUUGGAAGUACUGGCACCGUUGUUCGGAGGUGCUGCCGGGACAAGGCGGCCGUUACUCAGGAAGUAAUCAGGGACAAGACGCCCUGAGUUCUCCAGCUCCUCAAAUUUCUUGUAUGCAGACAUUUUCCAAUUCUUCACUUUAAGCUGUAACAGAAAAUUCGAAUGUAAUUACCAGCACGCUAUUAUUUUAGUGACUAUCAACUGCCUAACCGUGAUAGAAGUGGAAGAGUGUUAGAUGCAGUACCUGUGGAAACUGAUCGACGUCACUGACACUGUACGGAACAUAGACAUCAGUCAUCUUACCGACAACAUCAUAGAAAUCAUUGAAUAAUAUUUCACAAUUAUCCUCUGGAACCCAAUACGAAUAGAUCUCAUCCCCAGGAACAGACAUGGUAGCAUGUUCAAUCAUGGAAUUCCAAUCCCCAUUCUUCAUGCCAGCAAGCUAAUUGCCAUAAAUUAAAAACUAACUUAUCAAUUAAUAAAAUGCCAACAGAUAUUACAUUUAGCAGUACACGUCCAAAUAAGUCCUAAGAUAUGCUGGACAUCUUAUCCUGAUCCAGAAAUAUCAAUAUAAACUGCAUAUAUACCUCUUGGAGACCAAAUUUAUCUUUGUGAUAAUGGCGCAACAAGUGCUUCACUUUCGUAAUAUUUUUCUCCACAAGGUUAUUCCAAUGUUUUCCCUUUAAGCAAAUUUUCUUCAGUUGAUGUAUAGCGUCUUCCUUGGAUGGAAUAGAACUCUUCUCAUUUGCUGAAAUAGGCAAAAAGGUUGGGUGUGUUCAGCGUUCGGACAAGAUUGCUAAUAUGAAAUGAGAUCGUUUUAGGUAUAUUUCCAUCUGUUAGUUUUGACGAAAGGAUUAAUGUCAAGGUAAAUUGCAAUCAAUUUAUUGUUGAUAUACCACCUACAACAUUGAAAAACUACAACGGUUCACACCCUUUCUCCAUUACACACGGAAUGUACAAGUCGACAUAAACUGUGUACUGAGCAAAGAAGAGUGACUCACAGUACUGCUACCCUUUUUUGGCAGAACAAGUCAUCCCCUUCAAAAAGCAAAACAUUUAGUGCCAAAAUAGCAUAUUUUGAGGUAAAGUAAUGUCAUUUCGUGCACAAGGCCAGAACUGUUUUUUGAAAGAUAUACUAUGUGCUGUAAAAAAUUCUUUAUUAUUCAAAUCAGCUUGUCAGACACUUAAAAGAGAAUCAUGCUCUUCACCUGACUAUGCAGUGCACCUAUAAUUCGAUAUAGUUAAAAAAAUGGCUCCGAAUAGAUAAGUGAAUAUACUCACAUUCACUUCGACGGUCUUUGACGACAAAAGGAUCAGUUAUUGCUUCCUGAACUCUGACAGUAAGAUCCUGCCUUUUCACUCGAGCUGUUAAUCUUAACUUUUUCCCGUGGGAGCUCUCUGGAAAGGAGAAUGAACCAAGAGAGGACUCGCCGUUUGUAAGACUAACGGUUGUCAAGACCGACUCUNNNNNNNNNNNNNNNNNNNNNNNNNNNNNNNNUCUUUCCCUUUAUACAUAUAAAUUUGCUUGCUGAAUUCAUCUUUGGUGAAAUCCUCUUGUCCGGUAAAGAAAUCAGCAUGAACAGGUAAGAUCUCAAUUUGCAAUUUAGAAAGAUCACCCUGCGUGAUUGGCUUCUCAUUUUGAAGUAUUGCUACUUUAGCGUUUGCUCCAUUCUUCCAUACUGGACAACGAGUGAAAAGUGUAUCUUUUGGUCCUGCAACAUCAAAGUGUAGCUUGACGACUCCAGUGAUGCUUCCAGUUUCAGGAAAGCCUUCCGAUACAUGCCUAAAAUUUAGAACAGGACGAGAGUGAGACAGUAACAAGAAAGGAAACUUCACAGAUUAUUUAGAAAGGAAAUACCACUUGGUUUGGCAGAUUUUUAGUGUCAAUGACAUGAAUAAAAAACAAUAGAGCAUUAAGUAGAGGAACUAUGCAUGUCCAAUUGUCCAGUGCUCAACUUGUAAUGCAGAACUAGUGCUGACAACUGUAGGAGGACAUAGGAGAAAAAUUAUAAUAUCAGGUACCUAGGAGGAGGCUCAUGAACGGCACUAGGAAGCGAAGCGGCUUGUUGUUCCUGCAUCUAUUGCAUGAUAUAACAAAAAGGAGUUAGGAUAGAGGUAGACAAUAAGGGAAAGAUUCCAAAAAAGGGAAAAGCAUAUUACGUCCAUACUGACCUUUGUCUGUACAAUUGACUGAACCUUAUCUUCGAUGCGUCCCAUAAUAGAACUGUUGGAUACAGCACAACAAGUGAAUAGAUAAAAAUAAUUAAGCAAAGGGGAAGCAUUAUCCAUCACAUCCACAACAUUCCAAAGUUGAAUACUACUCAACACAUAAACUCGUAAGGCUGCUUCCGUAUACUGAUACUAUAUUAUGCAGGUAUGGUUAUUACUGAAAGAAGAAGAAGAAAUCCAUGGUUUAUCCGUGCUCCAUGAAUCGAACUUGAUUAAUCAUCUGAGACUGAAGUAGUAUGAUUGUCAAGUUUUCCGUUGUAUAUAUACAUAGCCAGCAUUCAUAUGAAAGAGAAUAAUAGCUAGCCGUGUGUUUUUCAGAGGAUAAAGACUGGCAAGCAAGUCAGCAUCUCAAUCAUUACUUUCCUUUCCUUUAUUGGUCUGUAACUACGAGUAGUACUCCUACCUACUCCAGGAGGGAAAAUCGUUGCCGUACGUACCUAGAGCGAUCCAAAAUUCAAAGUAGAGUACAGCAUAUGAACCGUGACACUACACAUGGAUGUAUGUUUGUGGUUGAGAGCAUGUGUGUACCUCUGGAAAGCACCGAAAUGCUCCCCCAAAACUCUCUCCAGCCUCUCCAUGAUGGAACUCGCCACGUCGCGCUGCGCCUGUCGCGCCCCACGAAAAACAAUUGAAACAGUCCCGCCGGACCUGUCAGCCAUCGCCGGCCACGAAAGACGAAACCAAACGCGCGGCGAGGAGGAGGAAAUGCGGGGGAGAGGGGAACCGCGAUGAAUCGGCCUCACCUGGCGAAGCAUCCGCGCCAUCUGGCCGAUGGUGACCACCCUCGCCUUCCCCUCGUCCCUGCGGCGGCCGGGGCCGCGGAUCCGCGCGAAGCAGACGAUAGCGAGGGGUCAGUCUCGAAUCGUGGAAGCAAUGGAGAGAGAAGAGAAGAAGCGGCGGCUGACGCCGGCGCAGGAGGCCGGAAGGUACUCACAGCCACAUGACGAGGAGCCCCGCCCGCCGCAGCCGCUUCCUCGGGGAACACACCGCCUCCGGCUCCCGCUCCUGCUCCGGCUCCGGCGCGACGGCGCCGAGCGGCCGCUUGUUGUGCGCGCGCGCCGCCAUCACGCGCUUCGGGCGGGGUCGACGUCCCUCGGGUGGAGCGCGGCGGCGGUGAGCUAGCCGGGGCGGGGCGGAUGGGGAAGAAUGGUGAUGCCGCUGCCGUCGCCGUUGCCGUUGCCGUUGCCGUGAUGGGGAUUGGGGGGUUUGGGUUGAGCACUCGAGCUUGGAGCUUGCCGCUUGUCUUGUCUGCUGACGCGUGCACUGCGCUUAGAAAUAGGAGAGUUGGAGGGAGGAGGCCAAGGCGAGAUGGAGAAGCUGCGUCAUGUUAGCCGUCACGCACUCCCCCAGCGGCGGGAGGGGAAGACCGACCAUGGCGCUGGCGCGUAGAGUGCGACGUCAGGGGUGGGAGCUACGCGCCGUGCUGGGCUCGGGCCGGGGUGGUGGUGGCCCGCAGGUCUCUCGGGCUUGCCGCGCCACGGCCGGGCGGCUGCGCACUCCUCAUGUCGUCACCCCCGUACAACAUGUUCGACGAAAUUGGCCUAUAUAAAAAAAAAACAAGUUUUCAUUUUUGGUUCGUUCGGCGUCCAUUCUUUCUGGUUUAGCUGAUGAUGACAGUGACACCUGUCCCUCACAGCAGCUCGUCGUCACUUUCAACUUGCAAGCACAAGUCGUCAAUGGUUGACAUCCGGACGACCUCUUCUCUAACCUUGUGACAACACGAAUAGUAUCAUUCUGUACAAACCACAAACCGGCCUGUGCUCAAGUCCUUCCAUUCCUUCGUCGUCACCGCCGGAGCAUGGCGUCCAAGCGUGCUCGGCGACGACCGUCGGCAGUCGCUGAGCUAUAGGGGAAUGAUUGGGAUUCGGCCACCUACUGUUGCAAGGGAAGUAGUGAUAAUUCUAUGAAGAGUUUCUACGGUCGGCCCAUCCUAGCUCACUGGCCUAGCUCCACUACUGUCUAUCGUCGGCCAGUGGGUUGUAUCUUCCAUCCUUCCACACACGCGGAUUAAACCGUGAACGCAGAUGUGGGGUGCUUUCUACCUGGAGGCGUCGACCUAGAGCCGGUGUCUGAUGUCGAGCUAGGAGUGAAAGAAGGUGCCUUCCCCUCUUCCCACCGUGAUUGGGUUGCCAUGACGUGAAUGGUUGGCGGUGUAUAGGGGCAUGGAUGCCGGGGUGAUGGUCCCGGAAGAUGGCCUUCACGGUUGGCUAUCCGAUAGGCUCCAUGAGGGUGGUGGUACCUCCACCUCUUGUAGUGGCGUAGUCAGCCUGAUGUAUCAGGGUGGCCCGGUUAUAAAAAUAUUACAAUUUUUUAUUUAUUUAACAGAAAUAAUGUUUUACUACAUUAUGCACAAUCUAUACGAGAAUUCCAGGAUGAUCCAUGGACCAUCUUGUCCACCCCCUAGCUACGUCACUGACCUCUUAGUCGUGUGAGCGGCAAGGGGUGUAGUGACGGGAGGCAAUGUGGUUUUCUCUAUCAAUGUACAAGUCUGCUAUAGAUGGGCCAACCCUCGUUGUGGCGGUGAUCGAGGCCCCCUCCUGGUGGUGUAGGCAAGUGUCCAAGUGAAAGCUUUGCCCCUCUGGCGUGCCCCUUGCUUCCUGAAGACGCCAUCGUGACUCUCGCCUCUGUGCCAAACCUUUCUCCGGCUGCUCGGACUCCAUAGCGGCGACACUUCGCACCGUCACCCUGGGCGUUGUUGUGGAGUUCAGGCAUAGUCGGUGACGUGUUAGGCUUGUUCUAGGCGUUUUGUUGUAUCUUUUGAUGUGCUUCGUAAGAGGGUCUUUUCAUCACUUUGUAUCAUUCGGUUGUGUACUCUGGUAAGUUGCUUUAUUUAUAAAGUAGGAUGAAAAAGUCUCGAGAGAGAGUUAUGUUCAUAUACACCAAUUAACAUCCAACCAUGUUGGUCCCUGGACCGACAUGCCUAGGGAGGGCUCCUUUUGAUGAGGUGGCAGUCAACGGUGGUGUGUUUCGCCGUCGUUGUUCGUCCUUGUGGUUACCCCUUCUACAUGCAGCAGCAGCCUCACUGCGGACUAUGGUGACCACUGAAAUGACUUUGUGAGGAUUUCUUUUUAAAAAACCAUCGGGUGCCUUUGGCGAUGAGAUGCAAUCUAUGGACGACAGCUUGACGCAGAGGAUAUGUUGUGCAAUGGAGGAGGGUGCACAUCAUAUGUAGCUGCUGAAUUGCGGAAAAGAGGUGGUGACAACACUUGAGUGACUUCCAUGGUGGUGCUCGUUCAGUCUCAAGCUCCGAGCUUAAAGUCUAGGUCUGAUCGGAGUUGGUUAUACGUGUCAAUGACGAUGUUUUUGUGUCAUCAUCUUUUUAAAGACUUUGCUAUUUGUGAGUGUAUUUUCGGUGUUGGUGUUAGCUAUGUGCUUCCUAGCUAUACAGAGGUCGGGUGUGAUGUGUUUGUAUCCGCUUGAUGUUUUUAUUUUGAGUGAAUAAAACCCAUCCUCUGUAAAAAAAAAAACAUCAAUUAACAUGCAUCCCAACCGCGUCCCUGAUCCGCUUAUCAGAACUUCUUUAUUGGGAAACUAUAUCCAACUCUCGUUGCGUUGCCAUUAGUACCUCCUCUUUUCCCAUUCCGUUUCUUUUAAAGGACAAAAGUGGGUGUGAGCUCGUUCUGUUUUCUGAUACUUUGGUAAGUCAGCAUUAAUUCUUGGCCUAUGUGAAAAAGUUAAUUCAAGUAGUAAUUCUCUUGCUUAACUAAGAAUAUAUAGUUCCCUCAACAGGAACAAAGAAACUGAGAACAUGCAUGUAGCAACACAGACUGAAUGCAGAACCCUCUUCGCUUGGACAUAAUUGAGUACCCAGCUUGCAUGUUUUGAUCAGAUCAGUCCUGUAGAUAUACAACCCAACCUCUAACAUUAACGACCCAUCUGGGGAUGAUACACUGCCAUAUCGCUGGCUGGUCAGAUCAUCUUCACCGAAGCCCUGCUCGUAACCAGCCCAUUGCUCCUGACCUGCGUCGAGAAAAAUACAGAGAUCAAUCAUUCUACAGGAAUACGAAAUGCAUAACCCGCAAAAGGCACAACCUGCAGAAGAUACCGAUGACCAUCCACGCUGAUCCCAACUACUACAAUGGUGGCAUGCAGGCGGUAACGAGNNNNNNNNNNNNNNNNNNNNNNNNNNNNNNNNAGCGUGGAGCGCGUAAGCAGCGCGCGCGCGCGAACAUGAUGAGCUGAAAAUGGCGGGAGGCAAAGAUAUAUAGGCAUUGCACAAGCCGCCACAAGGAGACGGUCGACAAGUCGUCUUGUGUGAACGGCGGAGGCGGUGCGCGGACCGCGCGCGCGCCCGGGGAUCGGACGCGGAAAAUCCCUGCGAUGCUUCUCCGUCCGCUGAAACCGUAAUUUACAAUACUUCGGAGAAGCGCGUGGGGACGGGAGAGGAGAAGACCAGGCUGCGCUGCUGCGUAGGACGGGGAAUUUCCAUUCCUUUUCCAUACAGUUUCCGUGGGGUUUUCCGGGGAUGUUCUCGGCGUAUUUUGGUCUGACUUUGCGGGUUUCAUCGAGAUUACCUAGAGGCUAGGCUAGUCUCCAAAUCCUCCGACGGUGGAGAAGACUGAUCGGCCUCUUUCACACUAACUAUGCAUUCUUCCUGGAAAGUUGAACGCGGCUUCCAGCAUUAUUUUUUCUGAGUUACCCUCGAGACUUUUCUUCGCUGGCCUGGGCAGAUUGUAAAUUUGUAAUGCAUAGGUUCUUCCUUCACUAGUAGAAAAUUAGGAUUUUUGGUUUGGACGGAAUUGGGAGAAAACUUAAGAUGGAGUUCAAUGAACUUUUUUUUUUUUUUUGAGCAGGAGCUGAAUGACUAGACAAUUGGAAAGAUUAAAGGGUGCAAGGUGUAAAACAGUGAAAGUGACAGAAUGAUGGAACAUUUAUUAUUGAUUGAACAUGCGGGGUAUUUAUACCCCGAGUACGUUACAAGGAACGGUUGCUAAAUCAAGGCAACCGGUAACGCAUGGAUUAUCCCAUUAAUUAAUACAUUUAAUUAAUUCAUAACACUCCUCCUAAUCCAUGCUUGUCUUUGUAAAUGUGCAUCAUCUUGAUAAAUAAUAAUCGUUGUAAGUUUUUCUCUUUAAGAAUGUUCCUCAUCUUCAUCUUGAAAAAUCGUUGUAUAAUCUUUAAAGUCUCCUCCAAAAACCCUGUGGGAAAAAUAUGAGGAGAAUAGUGUAGAUAUGUUGCUAAAACUCCUUUAAACCCAGUGGAAAAAUAAUAAGGAGAAAAUUGUGCAACAUAUAAUGAUUAUUGCCUCAUGAUAACUCAUUUGAGAAAACCUUUAUAGAGGGAUAAAACUCAUUUUUGAGUUUAGAGAACAAUAUAUGUCUUGAGUACUUCCUUUAAAAACCCUGAUAGGAAAAAUAGAAAGUAUGAUAUAUGAUCAUUGAUAAGAUAUUGCCUCAUUAAAAACAUUAUGAGAGAAAAUUUCAAAGAAACUCAUAAUGAAAAGAGUGCAAUGAGAUGUGCCAUGGAAAACUCCUUUAAAACCUAGUAGGAAAAAUAUAAGGAGAAAUAUGAUAUGGCAUGCAUCAAUGCUUGUAUUUAAUUCUCUCAUUAAAAACCUUAUAUGAGAAACCUAUUGGAAAAACUCAUAAAGGAAAAGAGUACAAUAUUCAUUACCUGAUGAUAAUUAAAGGGUUAUAUUUUCAGGAGAUUUCUCCCCCUGAACUUUGCAAAUCUCGGAAUCAUUUCAUACCAAUUCCAUGAAUGUAUUUCUGGAACGUUGAAUUUGGUAAAGACUUUGUGAACAAAUCUGCUAGAUUGUCACAUGAUUUAGUUUGCAAAAUAUCAAUUUCUCCAUUUUUCUGUAAUUCAUGAGGGUAGAACAAUUUAGGAGAAAUGUGUUUUGUGAUAUUACUUUUUAUAUAACCCAUUUGCAUUUGAGCAACACAAGCUGCAUUAUCUUCAUAAAUAAUAGUUGGUGAUCCUAAUGAACCAACACCACAUGUAGUUUGAAUGUGGUUAAUCAUCCUGCGAAGCCAUACACAUUCUUUUGAUGCUUCAAAUAAUGCAAUGAUUUCAGAAUGAUUAGUGGAAGUUGUUACGAGAGUCUGUUUUGUUGACUUCCAUGAAAAAGCAGUUCCACCAUAUAGGAAUACGAAACCUGUUUGUGACCUGGCAUUGUGGGGAUCAGAUAGAUAGCCAGCGUCAGUAUAUCCUACCAUAGUCAUGUCUUGGUUUUUCUGAUAGAAUAAGCCAAGAUCUUUUGUGCCAUGUAAAUAUCUAAGGAUAUUCUUUACUCCCGUCCAAUGACGUUUUGUUGGAGCAGCGCUAUGUCUAGCUAGUAAAUUUACCUCAAAUGCAAUAUCAGGCCUGGUGCAAUUUGCAAGGUACAUUAGCGCACCAAUGGCACUGAGAUAUGGGAACUCAGGUUCCAAUAUCUCUUCGCCAUUACCCCGAGGUCUAAAAGGAUCUUUAUUCACAUCAAGGGAUCUGACAACCAUGGGUGUUUUGGUUGGAUAUGAUUUAUCCAUAUUAAAUUUUUCCAAAACCUUUUGAAUAUAGGCAGGUUGGUAUACUAAAAUUCCUGAGGGAAGGUGCUCAAGCUGUAAGCCUAAGCAGAAUUUGGUUUUUCCCAAAUCUUUCAUCUCAAAUUCCGCCAUUAGAUGAUUGCGUGCUUCUUCAAUAUCAGGUGUACUUCCAAUGAUACUGAGGUCAUCAACGUACACUGAGAUGAUGCAAAAUCCAUUUGAGGACUUAUUUAUAAAUACACAAGGGCAAUCAUCAUUAUUUGAGUAGCCUUUCUGAAUAAGGAACUCACUUAGUCGGUUGUACCACAUUCUACCCGACUGUUUUAAGCCAUAUAGGGACUUCUGUAAUUUUACACAAUAUGCGUUGCGAUUUGCUUUUGGAUUCGGCAUUUUAAGUCCUUCAGGGACUUUCAUAUAUAUAUCCGAUUUGAGUGACCCAUAUAAGUAUGUUGUCACUACAUCCAUCAACUGCAUAGAUAAACUCAUUUGUACUGCCAUGGAUAUUAAGUAUCGAAACGUUAUUCCACUCAUAACAGGAGAGUAUGUAUCAUCGUAAUCGAUGCCGGGUCUCUGCGUGAACCCUUGUGCUACAAGCCUCGCUUUGUAUCUCACCACCUCAUUGUUUUCGUUCCUUUUUCGAACAAAAACCCAUUUUGCUCCCACGGGGAAGACAUUUUGAGGAGUAGGUAUUACUGAGGAAAACACCUCUCUUUGGUUGAGCGAGUGCAGUUCUGCCUCAAUUGCUUCCUUCCAUUUAGGCCAAUCAGGACGCUUGAGGCACUCCCUGACGGUCUUUGGUUCUGGAUCCAGUUGAAGGGUUUCAGCAAUUUCAGAGGCAAAAUAUAUGUCGACAAUUGUAGUCUCUCUAUUAUAUGAUUCUCCGGAUUCUAUAUAGUUUAUGGAAAUUUCUUUUAUACCUUCAGACUCUAUGUGAUUUUCCACAACAAUAGAGUCAUGGUGUUCCGAUGUCCCAGCUAUUAUGUUUUUAUGCGCAUUUAUGCUGGGUUCAAGAUGUUGAGCAUCUGGUUGGUGUCCUUCAACUUGAGGUUGAAUUGCAUUUCGUGGUAGAGGAGUUGUUUUCCUCUGUUUCCGUGGAGGCUUUUGAGAAGCUAUAUUCCGGCUAACCAGAUUUCUCCCCCUCUUACUCUCAUUUGGGGUUGGAGUGGUUUUAGUUGGUACCUCGACUCGUUCUGGUGCAUUAACUGCGGGAAUAUGUGAUUUAAUGACACCUUUAUGGUCAGUAAAUGCAUCUGGCAGAUUAUUUGCAAUGUGUUGCAAAUCUAUGAUCCUUUGAACUUCAGUUUCAGAUUCUUUAGUACGUGGAUCUAAGGACUGAAUGCCUGUUACAUUCCAAUCUAUUUCCUGGCAUUCUUUGUGGUUUGAUUCUCCCCCUAAUGCCGGGAAAUGGUCCUCAUCAAAAAUUGAAUCAGCGUAGCGGGCAGUAAACAGGUCCCCUGUAAGAGGUCCAAGAUAUUUAAUAAUUGACGGAGAAUUAUAACCCACAUAGAUCCCUAGUUUUCUGUGGGGGCCCAUUGUUGUACGCUGCUGUGGUGAUAUCGGUACGUAUACUGCGCAACCGAAUUUUCGCAGAUGGGAAAUACUUGGCUGAGUGCCACGUACUAGUUGUAGUGGGGAGGUUGUAUGAUAUGCAGUUGGUAUAAUUUGUAUCAGAUCUGCGGCGUGUAAUAGCGCAUGUGCCCAACAAGAUGCUGGUAAAUUACAAUUCUGUAAUAGUGGUCGAGCAAUUAAUUUUACUCUUUUGAUGAGAGAUUCAUCCAAACCAUUUUGAGUAUGGACGUAAGGCACAGAGUGUUCUAAAUGAAUGCCCAUAGCCAUGCAAUAGUCAUUGAAUGCACGUGAAGAAAAUUCAGCGGCAUUGUCCAUUCGAAUUGUUUUUAUCCUAUUUUCAGGAUGAUUUGCUCUUAAUUUGAUAAUUUGAGCAAUUAGUUUGGCAAAAGCAUGAUUUCGUGUGGACAAUAGACAUAUAUGUGACCAUCUGGUAGAUGCAUCUAUGAGCACCAUGAAAUAUCUAAAAGGUCCUGAUAGUGGUUGAAUUGGACCACAUAUAUCUCCUUGAAUGCGUUCAAGAAAGUUAAGUGACUCACUUUUUACCUUAAGAUAAGAUGGUCUUAUAGUUAAUUUCCCAGUUGCACAUGCGGUGCACACAAAAUCUGAUGAUUUUGGAAAAUUUUCAGUUGGAAGGCUGUGACCGAUAGAAUUGUCAAUAAUUUUUCUCAUCAUCCCUACUCCAGGAUGACCUAGGCGAUCAUGCCAAGUCUUGAAUUUAUCAAGAUCUUGAAAAAUUAUUUUGUAUGCAACAUGUGGUACGGGUUUUAUAUAACUGUAAUAUAAUCCAGAUGAAAGUGAGGGGAAUUUCUCAAGAAUUUGUUUCUCAGACCCAUUACUCUUUGUUAAAAGCAAAUGUUCAGAAUUAUUUUCAGAUAUUGUUUCCAAAUGGAAGUUAUUUGAUCUGAGGUCUUUGAAACUUAGAAGAGUGCGUGUAGAUUCAGGAUACAAUAGUGCAUCCUCAAUUACAAUUGUAGUACCCAUAGGUAGAACGAGUGUGGCUCGUCCUGAACCAAUAAUCGACGCAUCGCGGCCGGCAAUGGUCAUAAUAUUCCCUUUUCUCUUAGUUAGAGUUUGGAAAUAUUUUAUUUCCCUUAAUAUUGUGUUAGUGGUACAAGUGUCCACCAAACAUAAUUCUUCUUCCAUUGGAUUAUUUUCCCGUAAAAUCUAUAUAGAGUAAAAUAAUAUUUUAGGAUGAAACUUUAUUCAUAUUACUCACAUAUAUAAAUAUAUAUNNNNNNNNNNNNNNNNNNNNNNNNNNNNNNNNNNNNNNNNNNNNNNNNNNNNNNNNNNNNNNNNNNNNNNNNNNNNNNNNNNNNNNNUCACAUAUAUAAAUAUAUAUAUACAAAGUAUUUAUAUUACAGUUACAAAUAUAAAUAUGAUAUUAUGUUUAAAGACAUAAUACGAUUGGUCCGUAGGACUUUAUUCUACUUAGAAUUAUACAAAUUAUAACGUCCAUUAUUACAAUAAAAUAGCUGAUAACAUCAAAUGAAUGAUGUGGAGAUUAUAUAAGAUCUCCAUAUGCGUCUUGGGUGUAUUCCACCAUCAUGUUGUCAACAUCAAGAAGACCUUCAUCCUUCUGCCUUGUUUCCUUAGGAGCGCUUUGAGAAGUGCUAGCUUCAAGGUUUUCUUCUUGUUGUAAGGCGUUGAAGUGAGCUUCAGCUUUUCCAUGAACUUGUUUGCCUUUUCCAGUGGAUUUGAUGUAUAAAUCCGCUAGAUGCUUGGGAGUUCGGCAUUUACUAGUACGAUGGUUUGUACAUCCACACCUUUGACAAAUCUCGGAGUUGGUGUUUCGGUCAUUUUUCUUGAAGUGACCUUUACCUUUAGAUUGACCAAAGUUUUUCUGUUUGUUGUUCCUUUUCCACUUUCCAUUGAAUUUCUUGAAAUUCUUUUUGUUGGCCCCAUACUUUUUAGUAAACUGAGUGUUAGCAUGUGCUUCAGGGAGUGGCAUUGAGCCCGUUGGGCGUGUGUGAUGAUUCUUCAUGAGAAGUUCAUCAUGUUUCUCAGCCUGAAGUAAAGUGUAUAUGAGCUCAGAAUACUUUUUGUAUUUUUGUUGACGGUAUUGCUGUUGUAGUUACCUCAUCGAGGGGUGGAAAGUGCACAAGGUCUUCUCAAUAAGGUCUUCUUCAGAAAUUGCUUGAUUGCAAAACCUUAGUUUUGAGUUAACCUUGUGAACUGCAGAGUUAUAUGCUGCCACCGAUUUGAAAUCUUGGAACCUUAUGAGGGACCAUUCUCUCUGUGCUUCCGGCAGCAUGACUGCUCUUUGCUGGUCAUAUCUCUCCUUGAGAGAGUUCCACAAAACUAGUGGAUCUUCUUCCAUCAAAUGUUCUGACUUUAAGUCCGGAUGGAGAUGGUGCCUUAAGAAACUUAAAGCAGUAUAUCUGGCUGCCGUGGGGAUUUCUCCGGCGCCUUCAUCGGGUGUGAUGAUAGUGGAACCGAGUUUACGACUUUCAAGGGCUAUCUUUCCAUCCAUAGCCCAUGAUAAAUAGUUACUACUAUCUAGUUCAAGUUCAUGAAAUUUACGAUGCAUGACACCAGCCAUUUCCUGCAUGGUAUUUUCAUGCAUAAUUUAGUUUUACUAUGAGAGUAAAAUAUAAGUUACAACAAAUGCUUUAGGAAGCAAAAUUUUCAAGUAUAGCUGAUGCUUUAUCUGUAGACCUCAUUUUAUGUAUAUGACACUUCGAAAAUAUUCACCGUUGGGGUGUAGAUCCCACAGUAGUGGAGAACAUAGUCUGGUUUUGACCAGUAGAUGUUCGUAGUCCAUUACCUUGUGUCAUACUAUAUUUUAUAAAAACACUUUGAAGGUAGUCAUCUUGUCAAAAGACUAGAUGUAGACCUCUCAGCAAGAGUGGAUAAUCUGCAAAUUAUGCAGUAGAUCACACAAUUACCUUGUGAUUUGUAAAAAUUCGAGGUAGUCACAUUAAUUCGCAUAUUCGGGAGAGCACUCGAAGAUAGUCAUUUUGCCAAAAUAAUGAAGGCAAAAUGUCGAUCUUUCAGCGAUGAGGAUAAUCUGCAAAAUGCAGUAGAUGCCUCAUCUACCUUGUGAUCCCAAAAAUUUGAAUUAAAAAAAAUUGUACUUGAAAACUACAUAUUCUAAAAAAAGUGAAAAAUGCUGAGGCAAUUAUAUAAAAUAUGUACACAUAGUCUGAGACUUUAUUUUAGACGAUAUACAAUCUAAGUAUUCAUACGUACAGUACAAUACCGAGUGAAUAUGAUAAGGAGAGGUUCUUAAUACAAUAAGAUAUCACACUGAAAUAAAAGGAACAAUCUGCAGUGCAAUAUAGUAAUUGCAGCAUAGUAGUACUAUGAUUAAAACACAACGCUAAUAGUCACUUUAUUUCCUGGCAUGUAUGCCUUUUGGAGAGGAAACGUGGCUUGCAGGCCUUUUGGAGAGGAAAACGUGGCUUGGAGUUUGGAGUGGACGUGGCCUGUGUUGGACCAUAUACCGGUUGGAGAGAUGGAUAAGGGAGAGAGCAAGGCAGCAAGCCGAGGCCACACAGCCACUUCUCUCCUGUUUCCCAUAUUCUUCCCGAUGCAGACCCAAACACCUCAUCACUCCAGCCUCCUCUCCCCAUGGCUGCUUCAAGGAAAACGGGGUUGGCCCCGCAGCGCAGCCCGGCUACUCCGUUGCUACUUGCCUCCGGUGCGCCGGCGAAGCCCAGGGUGUCCGGCGACCACACGCCACGAAGUGCCGCCCGGUUCUGCGCCAUAGCAGCGGCGAACUGGCGCAGGAUCAGGCGGGCUUCCGGCGGUGGCGUCGGCGGAAGGGGCAGAGCCGGAGGAGGAGGAGGUGUCGCCGGUGAUGGAGGGGGGAGCGACGACCACAAGCCCAUGUACUCCAUCCCCUCUUCUUCAACCUUGAUCUGGACGUUCAAGACGGGGAUGGUGGGGUAACCGCCUCGUUCCUCUCGAUCCGGUGUCGCAGAUGGCAGAUCCGGGAUGGGGCCGGUGUGUGCAGCCGCUGGCGGCGUCGGGGAUGGCAGAUCCGGGACGUGGCCGUCCGUGCGCGCAGGGCAUGGCCCGAACUCGUGCUGCAUGCAGUAUGGAGGAAGAGGCGGCGGCGUAAGUUCACAAGGGAACAUCACAUCUUCCCCGAGGAACGACGCUGAUGGCCCUGCAAGAAGCCAAUCCAUGGGACGUAUGUUGAAAGCAGAUGGCGAAGUGGCCGGAGCCGAAGGCCCAGCUGUUGGGGAACGUCGCAUGGGAAACAUAAUUUUCCUACGCGCACGAAGACCUAUCAUGGUGAUGUCCAUCUACGAGAGGGGAUGAGUGAUCUACGUACCCUUGUAGAUCGUACAGCAGAAGCGUUAGUGAACGCGGUUGAUGUAGUGGAACGUCCUCACGUCCCUCGAUCCGCCCCGCGAACCAUCCCGCGAUCAGUCCCACGAUCUAGUACCGAACGGACGGCACCUCCGCGUUCAGCACACGUACAGCUCAACGAUGAUCUCGGCCUUCUUGAUCCAGCAAGAGAGACGGAGAGGUAGAAGAGUUCUCCGGCAGCGUGACGGCGCUCCGGAGGUUGGUGAUGACCUUGUCUCAGCAGGGCUCCGCCCGAGCUCCGCAGAAACGCGAUCUAGAGGAAAAACCGUGGAGGUAUGUGGUCGGGCUGCCGUGGAAAAGUCGUCUCAAAUCAGCCCUAAAACCUCCGUAUAUAUAGGUGGGAGGGAGGGGAGGAGCCACUAUAUAUAGGAGGAGGAGGGGGGAGACUUGCCUUGGGGUCCAAGGACUCCCAAGGGAGUCGGCCGAGCCAAGGGGGAAGGUCUCCCCCUCCCAAACCGAAAUCCACUUGGUUUGGAAGGUGGAGUCCUUCUUCCCUUUCCCACCUCCUUUUGUUUUCCGUUCCUCUUUGAUUUUCUUUCCUAUGCGCAUAGGCCUCUCUUGGGCUGUCUCACCAGCCCACUAAGGGCUGGUGCGGCACCCCAAACACCCAUGGGCUUCCCCGGGGUGGGUGCCCCCCCCCGGUGAACUCCCGGAACCCAUUCGUCAUUCCCGGUACAUUCCCGGUAACUCCGAAAACCUUCCGGUAAUCAAAUGAGGUCAUCCUAUAUAUCAAUCUUCGUUUCCGGACCAUUCCGGAAACCCUCGUGACGUCCGUGAUCUCAUCCGGGACUCCGAACAACAUUCAGUAACCAACCAUAUAACUCAAAUACGCAUAAAACAACUCGAACCUUAAGUGUGCAGACCCUGCGGGUUCGAGAACUAUGUAGACAUGACCCGAGAGACUCCUCGGUCAAUAUCCAAUAGCGGGACCUGGAUGCCCAUAUUGGAUCCUACAUAUUCUAUGAAGAUCUUAUCGUUUGAACCUCAGUGCCAAGGAUUCAUAUAAUCCCGUAUGUCAUUCCCUUUGUCCUUCGGUAUGUUACUUGCCCGAGAUUCGAUCGUCAGUAUCCGCAUACCUAUUUCAAUCUCGUUUACCAGCAAGUCUCUUUACUCGUUCCGUAAUACAAGAUCCCGCAACUUACAUUAAGUUACAUUGCUUGCAAGGCUUGUGUGUGAUGUUGUAUUACCAAGUGGGCCCCGAGAUACCUCUCCGUCACACGGAGUGACAAAUCCCAGUCUCGAUCUAUACUAACUCAACGAACACCUUCGAAGAUACCUGUAGAGCAUCUUUAUAGUCACCCAGUUACGUUGCGACGUUUGAUACACACAAAGCAUUCCUCCGGUGUCCGUGAGUUAUAUGAUCUCAUGGUCAUAGGAACAAAUACUUGACACGCAGAAAACAGUAGCAACAAAAUGACACGAUCAACAUGCUACGUCUAUUAGUUUGGGUCUAGUCCAUCACAUGAUUCUCCUAAUGAUGUGAUCCCAUUAUCAAGUGACAACACUUGCCUAUGGCCAGGAAACCUUGACCAUCAUUGAUCAACGAGCUAGUCAACUAGAGGCUUACUAGGGACAGUGUUUUGUCUAUGUAUCCACACAAGUAUUGUGUUUCCAAUCAAUACAAUUAUAGCAUGGAUAAUAAACGAUUAUCAUGAACUAAGAAAUAUAAUAAUAACUAAUUUAUUAUUGCCUCUAGGGCAUAUUUCCAACAGUCUCCCACUUGCACUAGAGUCAAUAAUCUAGUUCACAUCACCAUGUGAAUCCAACACCCAUAUAGUUAUGGGGUCUGAUCACGUCUUGCUCGUGAGAGAGGUUUUAGUCAACGGUUCUGAAACUUUCAGAUCCGUGUGUUCUUUACAAAUCUUUAUGUCAUCUUAUAGAUGCUGCUACUAUGUGCUAUUCGGAAAUACUCAGAAUAUCUACUCUACUAUACGAAUCCGUUUCACUACUCAUAGUUUUUCGGAUUAGUGCCAAAGCUUGCAUCGACGUAACCCUUUACGACGAACUCUUUAACCACCUCCAUAAUCGAGAAAAAUUCCUUAGUCCAUUAGUUACUAAGGAUAAAUUUUGACCGCUGCUAGUGAUUCAAUCAUGGAUCACUCUCUGUACCUCUCAACAUACUUUGACUCAAGGCACACAUCACGUGCGGUACACAGCAUGGCAUACUUUAGAUCCUACGGCUAAGGCAUAGAAGACGACCUUCGUCUAUUCUCUUUAUUCUGCCGGGGUCGGGUUUUGAGUCUUUCUCAAAUUCACACCUUACAACGCAACCAAGAACUCCUUCUUUGUUGAUCUAUUUUGAACUCCUUCAAAAACUUGUCAAGGCAUGCAUCUUGUUGAAACUUCCAUUAAGCGCUUUUCGAUUUAUCUUCAUAGAUCUUUGAUGCUCAACGUUCAAGUAGCUCAAUCCAGGUAUUCCUUUGAAAACUCCUUUCAAACAACCUUGUAUGUUUUACAGAAAUUCUACAUUACUUCUGAUCCACAAUAUGUCAACCACAUAUACUUAUCAGAAAUUCUAUAGUGCUCCCACUCACUUCUUUGGAAAUACAAGUUUCUCAUAAACCUUGUACAAACCCAAAAUCUUUGAUCAUCUCAUCAAAGUGUAUAUUUCAACUCCGAGAUGCUUGCACCAGUCCAUUGAAGGAUCGCUGGAGCUUGCAUACUUGCUAGUACCUUUAGGAUCAACAAAACAUCCUGGUUGUAUCACAUACAAUGUUUGCUCAAAGAAACCGUUGAGAAAACAAUGUUUUGACAUCCGAUGUAGAAACCGUUGAGAAAACAAUGUUUUGACAUCCGAUGUGCAAUAUUUCAUAAAUAAUGCAUCAACAACUAACAUAAUUCUAACAGACCUUUAGCAUCGCUACGAGUGAGAAAGACUCAUCAUAGUCAACAGUUUGAUCUUGUCGGAAACAUCUUUGCGACAAGUCGAGCUUUUCUUAAUAGUGAUUUAUCACCAUCAUCGUCUGUCUUUCUUUUAAAGACCCAUCUUUACUCAAUAGUCCUCUCACCAUCAAGUAGUUCUUCCAAAGUCUACACUUUGUUUUCAUACAUGGAUCCUCUCUCGGAUUUCAUGGCCUCCAGCCAUUUGUCGGAAUCCGGGCCCACCAUUGCUUUCUUCAUAACUCGUAGGUUCACUGUUGCUCAACAACAUGACCUCCAAGACAUGGUUACCGUACCACUCUGUAGUAGUACGUGACCUUGUCAACCUACGAGGCUUGUAGUAACUUGAUCUGAUGCUUGAUGAUCACCAUCAUCAGCUUCCACUUCAAUUGGUGUAGGUGCCACAGGAACAACUUCCUGCGCCCUGCUACACACUGGUUGAAGUGAUGGUUCAAUAACCUCAUCAAGUUCUACCACUCUCCCACUCAAUUCUUUCGAGAGAAACCUUUCCUCGAGAAAGGAUCCGUUUCUAGAAACAAACACUUUGCUUUCGGAUCUGAGAUAGGAGAUGUACCCAACUGUUUUGGAUAUCCUAUGAAGAUGCAUUUAUCCGCUUUGGGUUCGAGCUUAUCAGACUGAAACUUUUUCACAUAAGUGUCGAAGCCCCAAACUUUCAAGAAACAACAGUUUAGAUUUCUCUAAACCUCAUUCUAUACUGUGUCAUCUCAACAGAAAUACGCGGUGCCCUAUUUAAAGUAAGUGCGGUUGUCUCUAAUGCAUAACCCAUACACGAUAGUGGUAAUUCGAUAAGAGACAUCAUAGUAUGCACCAUACCAAAUAGUGCGUGGCUAUGACGUUCAGACACAUCAUCACACUAUGAUGUUCCAGGUGGCAUGAACUGCGAAACAAUUUCCACAUUGUCUUAACUGCGUACCAAAACUCGUAACUCAGAUAUUCAUUUCUAUGAUCAUAUCGUAGACAGUUUAUCCUCUUGUUACGACGAACUUCACUCCGAAACAGAAUUGAACUUUUCAAUAUUUCAGACUUGUGAUUCAUUAAGUAAAUACUCUAGUAUCUACUCAAAUCGUCAGUGAAGUAAGAACAUAAUGAUAUCCACUGCGUGCCUCAGCACCCAUUGGACUGCAUACAUCAAAAUGUAUCACUUCCAACAAGUUACUAUCUUAUUUCAUCUCAAUGAAAACAAGGCCUUGCUCAUGUGGUAUGAUUCGCAUGUCACUAGUGAUUCGAAAUCAGGUGAGUACAAAGAUCCAUCAGCAUGGAGCCUCUUCAUGCAAUUUAUACUAACAUGACUCAAGCGGCAGUGCCACAAGUAAGUGGUACUAUCAUCAUCAACUCGUAUCUUUUGGCACCAAUAUCAUGAACAUGUGUAACACUACGAUCGAGAUUCAAUAAACCAUUGAAGGUGAUUAUUCAAGAAAACAGAGUAACCAUUAUUCUCUUUAAAUGAAUAAUCGUAUUGCAAUAAACACGAUCCAAUCAUGUUCAUGCUUAACGCAAGGACCAAAUAACAAUUAUUUAGGUUUAAUACCAAUCACGAUGGUAGAGAGAGCGUGCGACGUUUGAUCAUAUCAACCUUGGAAACACUUCCAACACGUAUCGUCACCUCGCCUUUAGCUAGUCUCCUUUAUGCCGUAGCUUUCAUUUCGUGUUACUAAUCACUUAGCAACCGAACCGGUUGUUGGAAAUAUGCCCUAGAGGCAAUAAUAAAUUAGUUAUUAUUAUNNNNNNNNNNNNNNNNNNNNNNNNNNNNNNNNNNNNNNNNNNNNNNNNNNNNNNNNNNNNNNNNNNNNNNNNNNNNNNNNNNNNNNNNNNNNNNNNNNNNCUCCCACUUGCACUAGAGUCAAUAAUCUAGUUCACAUCACCAUGUGAAUCCAACACCCAUAUAGUUAUGGGGUCUGAUCACGUCUUGCUCGUGAGAGAGGUUUUAGUCAACGGUUCUGAAACUUUCAGAUUCGUGCGUUCUUUACAAAUCUUUAUGUCAUCUUAUAGAUGCUGCUACUACGUGCUUUUCGGAAAUGCUCCAAAUAUCUACUCUACUAUACGAAUCCGUUUCACUACUAAUAGUUAUCCGGAUUAGUGUCAAAGCUUGCAUUGACGUAACCCUUUACGACAAACUCUUUAACCACCUCCAUAAUCGAGAAAAAUUCCUUAGUCCAUUAGUUACUAAGGAUAAAUUUCGACCGCUGCUAGUGAUUCAAUCAUGGAUCACUCUCUGUACCUCUCAACAUAUUUUGAGUCAAGGCACACUUCAGGUGCGGUACACUGCAUGGCAUACUUUAGAUUCUACGGCUAAGGCAUAGAAGACGACCUUUGUCUAUUCUCUUUAUUCUGCCGUGGUCGAGUUUUGAGUCUUACUCAAAUUCACACCUCACAACGCAACCAAGAACUCCUUCUUUGCUGGUCUAUUGUGAACUCUUUCAAAAACUUGUCAAGGCAUGCAUAUUGUUGAAACUUCUAUUAAGCGCUUUCGAUCUAUCUCCAUAGAUCUUUGAUGCUCAACGUUCAAGUAGCGUAAUCCAGGUACUCCUUUGAAAACUUCUUUCAAACAACCUUGUAUGCUUUACAGAAAUUCUACAUUACUUCUGAUCCACAAUAUGUCAACCACAUAUACCUAUCAGAAAUUCUAUAGUGCUCCCACUCACUUCUUUGGAAAUACAAGUUUCUCAUAAACCUUGUACAAACCCAAAAUCUUUGAUCAUCUCAUCAAAGUGUAUAUUCCAACUCCGAGAUGCUUGCACCAGUCCAUUGAAGGAUCACUGGAGCUUGCAUACUUGCUAGUAUCUUUAGGAUCGACAAAACCUUCUGGUUGUAUCACAUACAAUGUUUGCUCAAGGAAACCGUCGAGAAAACAAUGUUUUGACAUCCUACGUGACAUAUUUUAUAAAUAAUGCAUCAACAACUAACAUAAUUCUAACAGACUUUUAGCAUCGCUACGAGUGAGAAAGUCUCAUCAUAGUCAACUGUUUGAUCUUAUCGAAAACAUCUUUGCGACAAGUCGAGCGUUUCUUAAUAGUGACUUAUCACCAUCAUCGUCUGUCUUCUUUUACAGAUCCAUUUUUACUCAAUAGUCCUAUGACCAUCAAGUAGUUCUACCAAAGUCUACACUUUGUUUUCACACAUGGAUCCUCUCUCGGAUUUCAUGGCUUCCAGCCAUUUGUCGGAAUCUGGGCCCACCAUCGCUUUCUCCAUAACUCGUAGGUUCACUGUUGCUCAACAACAUGACCUCCAAGACAGGGUUACCGUACUACUCUGCAGUAGUACGCGACCUUGUCGACCUACGAGGUUUGUAGUAACUUGAUUCGAAGCUCAAUGAUCAUCAUCAUCAGCUUCCACUUCAAUUGGUGUAGGCGCCACAUGAACAACUUCCUGCGCCCUGCUACACACUGGUUGAAGUGAUGGUUCAAUAACCUCAUCAAGUUCUACUACCCUCCCACUCAAUUCUUUCGAGAGAAACCUUUCCUCGAGAAAGGAUCCGUUUCUAGAAACAAACACUUUGCUUUUGGAUCUGAGAUAGGAGAUGUACCCAACUGUUUUGGAUAUCCUAUGAAGAUGCAUUUAUCCUCUUUGGGUUUGAGCUUAUCAGACUGAAACUUUUUCACAUAAGUGUCGAAACCCCAAACUUUCAAGAAACGACAGUUUAGAUUUCUGUAAACCUCAGUGUAUACUGUGUCAUCUCAACGGAAAUACGCGGUGCCCUAUUUAAAGUGAGUGCCGUUGUCUCUAAUGCAUAACCCAUAAACGGUAGUGGUAAUUCGAUAAGAGACAUCAUAGUAUGCACCAUACCAAAUAGUGCGUGGCUAUGACGUUCAGACACAUCAUCACACUAUGAUGUUCCAGGUGGCAUGAACUGCGAAACAAUUUCCACAUUGUCUUAACUGCGUACCAAAACUCGUAACUCAGAUAUUCAUUUCUAUGAUCAUAUCGUAGACAGUUUAUCCUCUUGUUACGACGAACUUCACUCUGAAACGGAAUUGAACUUUUCAACAUUUUAGACUUGUGAUUCAUUAAGUAAAUACUCCUGUAUCUACUCAAAUCGUCAGUGAAGUAAGAACAUAAUGAUAUCCGCUGCGUGCCUCAGCACCCAUUGGACUGCAUACAUCAAAAUGUAUCACUUCCAACAAGUUACUAUCUUAUUUCAUCUCAAUGAAAACAAGGCCUUGCUCAUGUGGUAUGAUUCGCAUGUCACUAGUGAUUCGAAAUCAGGUGAGUACAAAGAUCCAUCAGCAUGGAGCCUCUUCAUGCAAUUUAUACUAACAUGACUCAAGCGGCAGUGCCACAAGUAAGUGGUACUAUCAUCAUCAACUUGUAUCUUUUGGCACCAAUAUCAUGAACACGUGUAACACUACGAUCGAGAUUCAAUAAACCAUUGAAGGUGAUUAUUCAAGAAAAUAGAGUAACCAUUAUUCUCUUUAAAUGAAUAAUCGUAUUGCAAUAAACACGAUCCAAUCAUGUUCAUGCUUAAUGUAAGCACCAAAUAACAAUUAUUUAGGUUUAACACCAAUCCCGAUGGUAGAGGGAGCGUGCGACGUUUGAUCAUAUCAAUCUUGGAAACACUUCCAACACGUAUCGUCACCUCGCCUCUAGCUAGUAUCCGUUUAUGCCGUAGCUUUCAUUUCGCGUCACUAAUCACUUAGCAACCGAAUCGGUAUCCAAUACCCUCGUGCUACUAGGAGUACUAGUAAAGUACACAUCAACAUCAUGUAUAUCAAAUACACUUCUUUCGACUUUUGCCAGCCUUCUUAUCUACCAAGUAUCUUGAGUUGCUCCGCCUCAGUGAUUGUUCCCCUCAUUAUAGAAGCACUUAGUCUCGGGUUUGGGUUUAAUCUUGGGUCUCUUCAUUAGUGCAGCAACUGUUUUGCCGUUUCACGAAGUAUCCCUUCUAGCCCUUGCCUUUCUUGAAACUUAGUGGUUUUACAGACCAUCAACUAUUGAUGCUCCUUCUUGAUUUCUACUUUCGCAGUGUCAAACAUCGCGAAUCGCUCAAGGAUCAUUGUAUGUAUCCUUGAUAUGUUAUAGUUCAUCACGAAGCUCUCACAGCUUGGUGGCAGUGACUUUGGAGAACUAUCACUAUCUCAUCUGGAAGAUUAACUCCCACUUGAUUCAAGCGAUUGUCGUACUCAGACAAUCUGAGCACAUGCUCAACGAUUGAGCCUUUUCUCCUGUGCUUUGUGGACAAAGAAUCUUGUCGGAGGUCUCGUACCUCUUAACAAGGGCACAAGCAUGAACUCACAAUUUCAUCUCUUUAGAACAUCACUUAUGUUCCGUGACGUUUUACAACGUUUUCGGCGCCUUGCUUCUAAGCCAUUAAGUAUUUUUGUACUGAACUAUCGUGUAGUCAUCAGAAACGUGUAUGUCGGAUGUUCACAGCAUCCACAGACGACGCUCGAGGUGCAGCACACCGAGUGGUGCAUUAAGGACAUAAGCCUUCUGUGCAGCAACGAGGACAAUCCUCGGUUUUACAGACUCAGUCUGCAAAGUUUGCUACUAUCAACUUUCAACUAAAUUUUCUCUAGGAACAUAUAAAACAGUAGAGCUAUAGCGCAAGCUACAUCGUAAUUUCGCAAAGACCAUUAGACUAUGUUCAUGACAAUUAGUUAAAUUAAUCAUAUUACUUAAGAACUCCCACUCAAAAAGUACAUCUCUCUAGUCAUUUGAGUGGUACAUGAUCCAAAUACACUAUCUCAAGUCCGAUCAUCACGUGAGUCGAGAAUAGUUUGAGUGGUAAGCAUCUCUAUGCUAAUCAUAUCACCUAUACAAUUCAUGCUCGACCUUUCGGUCUCAUGUGUUCCCAGGCCAUGUCUGCACAUGCUAGGCUCGUCAAGCUUAACCCGAGUGUUCCGCGUGCGCAACUGUUUUGCACCCGUUGUAUGUGAACGUUGAGUCUAUCACACCCGAUCAUCACGUGGUGUCUCGAAACGACGAACUGUAGCAACGGUGCACUGUCGGGGAGAACACAAUUUCAUCUUGAAAUUUUCGUGAGAGAUCACCUCAUAAUGCUACCGUCGUUCUAAGCAAAAUAAGGUGCAUAAAAGGAUUAACAUCACAUGCAAUUUAUAAGUGACAUGAUAUGGCCAUCAUCACGUGCUUCUUGAUCUCCAUCACCAAAGCACCGGCACGAUNNNNNNNNNNNNNNNNNNNNNNNNNNNNNNNNNNNNNNNNNNNNNNNNNNNNNNNNNNNNNNNNNNNNNNNNNNNNNNNNNNNNNNNNNNNNNNNNNNNNAAUACGACUCACUAUAGGGCGAAUUCUUUACCGAGCGAGGACAAGCAGACUUCACCAAAGAGGAAUUCAACAAGCAGAUAUGUAUACAUAAGGGGAAUGAGUCAGUCUUGACAACUGUUAAUCUAGUAAAUGGUGCAGCCUAUAUUGGUUCAGUCAUAUUUACAGAGAGCUCCCAGAGGAAAAGGUUAAGAUUGACAGCACGAGCGAAAGGACAGGAUCCCGCGGUCAGAGUUCAAGAAGCAAUCACUGAUCCUUUUGUUGUCAAAGUCGGCCGAAGUAAACGUGAGUAUAUCCAAUUAUCCAUUCUGAACAUGAAACCUUUUUAACUAUAUUACAUGGAAAUUUUAAUACACUCUUUAAUUUUUUUUCAUUCUAUGAAACGUUUACUGUUUAGAUAGUUGGCAGAAGAACAUGCUUGCUGAUUUUAAGGGAAAAAAUGUUAAAGAACACAUCAUAUCUUUGAGAAACUUUUAUGGCCUUUGUGCAAUGACAUUAUUUUAUCUGAAAAUAUGAAGUCUUAGCACUAAAUGUUCUACUUUUAGAAGGGAAUGUUCCGCCACAAAGUUUGGUUCAAAAAGGAGAUGCUCAGGCGCCUUGCCUAGUGCAUAAACGGAAGUCUGUAACUAGACGGGCCAAGCGAGAAAUUGUCAACUCCAGCGAGAGAUCGGGCCAUAUUGCACUGACAGCCUAUGGUACUCAAAUACAUCAUGAUAGUGAAAACUGUAUGACCGCCCAAGCGAAGGCCAAUCACUUCGCAUGUGCCUAGCGCUAUUUUUAACCUGGCAAAGCUGUUUGAAGUACUGUCACUUAGAUUUGGGAGUUGGGACCGUAAUUUUCUUGGGUCAUUACAUAUUUUAUUUUGAGUUAUGUAUUAGGUCGUAGAUUAAUAAUAAGCAUGGUAGAUCAGUUUAUAAUUUACCAUGUACAUUAAUCCUUUCCUGAAUACCAUAAUCAUCAGAUGCAAUGGUAGCCAGAAUGAACCAAUUGCAUAUUAGCAAUCUUGUCUUAACACAUCCAAUAUUUUUUGUUUACUUUCAGAAAACAGAAAGAGUUAUCCUCCAUCUAAAGAAGAAGCGGUAUACCGUUUGGAGAAGAUUUCCCUAAAGGGGAAACAUUGUACCCUCCUUGCUGAAAAGAAUAUUACUACGGUGAAGCAAUUCAUGCGUCAUUAUUACAGAGAUGAAUCUUGUCUCCAAAAGGUAAAUAUACAGUUAUAAUUAUGUUUCUACAAGCUUCAGCGUUUCAAUUUACCUGCACAAUAAUUGUCAUGGAUCGGAAAUAAAAUAUCCCACAUCUCCUAGGAUUAACUUUGACUACAUGUAAUUCUAUAUGUAUUCAUGUGCACUACAUGUAAUUAAAUGCUAAGUCAACUCUUUGUUUCUGGCAAUUAGCUUCUUGACAUGAAGGAGGAUUGGAGUACCUUGAUUAAACAUGCCACCACGUCUGAUCCUGGGGUUGAGAUCUAUUCUUUUAUUGUUGUGGAAGAAAAUACUGAACUCUUAUUCAAUGAUUUCUACAAUCUUGUUGGUAUAAUGAUCAGGGGACGCUAUUUUCAUGUCAAUGUCCUUGAUCAGUUUCAGCAGGUAUACUUUUAACACUGUUCCAUUGCCAUUGCAAUUAGGCUGUUGAUUCACUACGAUAAUAGUGUUCUGACAAUUAUCCUCAAAAUGUUGUCACGGUUACGAGGUUUAUAGCAAGAUUUACAUUUGGAAAUUGGGUUGCUUCCUAAUGUCAUUGUGAAUAGCUAACCUAACUUUGGCAUUGCUAAACCGAAACAGGGUAAAAUGGUGUUAUUGUACGUAUAGUUAGGACCAAGGCAUGGAUUCUAAAUAAAUUCUUAUGUCGAGCCUCUGUUUUUACUGCAGAGUUUAUUUUCACCUAUAUGUAUAUGCAUUCGUGAUGAAGUAUGUGUUGUUAUUCAAUUUGUUUCCCCAAUAUCUAGAAACCUAGAAGAAAUAUAUGGAGCAGUUGGAUUGCCACCUUGCGGUGUUUCUGUGCCUGCACCGUGUAAACCCACUGAAACACAGUGGAUUUAACGAAGGAGGAUCUAACUGCUGCCCUAAUACACUUAGUUGAAAAUCUUUAAAACGAUGAGGGAAAAUAUAAACACUAUUAUCACCAAAAGAUGAGCUCAAGUAUUCCUUUUUGAUGAUUAGAAGGUUUCAAAAAGGUCUGAGCAUUGAAGCCUUUCUGUACACAAAACAAUAAGCAAAAGCAUAUGCUUGCACAUUAUGACGGCGAUGACAGAAAUAAAACAUUUUUUACAGAUUAAAGUCAACAACUGGAAAAUGUCCGCGUAUAAGAAAUUUGACGAGCGGGAGAACUCAGGGGGUCUUAACCCUGAUUACUUCAUGACCGAUGGUGGCCCUGUCAGUGCAUUGCCUCUGAACAAUGAUGCAGGUCCUUCCGUACAAGCUGGAACGCUGUGGCAAUAUCAUAAUGGCAAGGCUGCACAACACGGUGAAUUUUAGUAUAUUGUUCCAUUUCUGAUCCUGGUCGCUACAUGUUUAUCUAAAUUCAGCUGACUGCAGAAGUUGGAGAUCGACAUCCAUUGAAUGGGUUGUCACGGGCCGCAGUCCUAUCAAACAAUGACGUUGGCCCUUCAAGCCAAGAAACACUGCCGUUUCCACAGCACAUGUAUGAACAGACUGCGUAUCAGGGUCAGUAUCACACAUCCUCUAUACUUAAAUUAUUGCUUCAUCGCGACUUUUUGUUGUUGCUGAAUUCUGAUAGUUUUGGGGAUUAACUUACUGUAGGACCUGGUGAGCAUGAUCCUUCUGUGCCACAGAAUGGAGCUCCUUACUCUCUGCAUCAGGGAAAUAUCUUAAAUGAUCAGGGACCAUUAUCAGCACAGCCAACUAUUCCAUCCCACAAUUUUUCACCAGUAAGAAAAGUUACAUAUGGCACAGGCACAAUCAACAGUUCCAUCCUGCAUUUUUUCAUUGACAACCUGAAUUGUUUUGUGGAUUGUAGGUUCGACAGGAUGACAUGAUCGCAGAUGCAAGUCAAAGUGGGUUUACUUCAUUUGAUGUAUGUGUUCUUUUGAAUAAGUAUCUUUGCGCAGACUAUGGCUUUAAGCUUUUUCCUUUGUUAUUAUGUCAUGAUAGUGUUUGUUCUUGCAGGUCGAGGAAUGGCUGAAUCUACCAAUAGAUGAGGCAGACCAUGGAAUUGUACCACCUAACAAUGGUAUGCAGUUUCGAAAUUUCAGUACCCAUGGGAACGACAACGAAAAGCCGAUAAUGUAUGCAAUUUUCAAUGCCAUAGCGAUAACUUCUGUUGAUAUAAGCUCAGCUGCUAAAUCAUGGAGCUUGUGUUAGUAUGAUGCAAUCAUAUUCAACAGCCUGAACUCUUCCCAUUUCGAUCUUGGAUGAUAGCAAAUUGAUGUUUGACUUCAUAAAAUCUAGAGUGUGUAUGCUUGCCUGAUGAAUACCAAACUGUUGCUUAAAAGUUAAAUUUGGGCCUGGAUUUAAGAUCUUCCUCUCGAUCCGUGCGCUGAUGUCGUGUUUCUUUCAUUUCAGCAGAACUGCCGAAUUCCAACAUCCCAUUUGACGGUGAUGGACAUGAUGGUGGCAACCAGUGAUAGAUUAAACUUGAGAGACCACUGCAACAAGCUUAAUUUGCUCCACUAGACCCAUGAUGGAGGUAGUCGGUGAUUGAAGUAUUCGGUGUGAUUAAACAUUUCGCGUGUACAUAUUAUUCAGUGAUUGCUUAAUUUGCUAUUGGUUGUAGUAGACAUUUGGCUUGCAUUCUUAAAAGCAAUUCUUUGUGUAAUCCUGUUAAUCCAUCCUUUCCUAAGUUGAGCAAAUAUUCAUAUUGCACAGCUUGCUUGGUGUAAUAUUGUUAAUCCAUCUUCUUCUAAGUUGAGUUUUUCCUAUGUAUGUUCACACAUUUUCACUCGUACUAUGUUGUGCAUCAUGAAAUCCGAAAAUUUGAACAUGGUAAAAUACACAGAAGAGAAGAGGAGAGAGAGAGAGAGAGAGAGAGCAUGCUAGUUGUACUACAAGACUUCAGUUUCUUAAAUACCACAGAGCUUCCAUUCCUCCUACACCAAGCCCACAUAGAUCGACACAAGAUACAUCAGCGAAAGCAAGCAAGAACACAAGAUACAUCAGCUAGUUGAGCCAUGGUAGUAUGACAGAGAUGCGAAGCAGAGCAGAGGGGGGGGGGGGGGGGGAGGGGGGGGGGGGGGGGGGGGGGGGGGGGGCAACCCCAGCAGAGCAGAUUCAGGCAUGGAUGCAGAGUUCACCUGAGUUGGGAGGGACAGACUAGCGAACCAUGGAAUGCAAGCAGGGCCGCUAAUUAGUAGCCGAUGUCGGCGCCGUCGUCGAACGAAGGUCGCCGUUGAUGCUGCUGGGGAUAGGUAUCGAUCACGCGGUGGUGUGGGCUGAAGCUUUCUGGUCAAGAUCCGAGAAGGAGACGCCUCAACCUGGCGAGAUCCCGGCUCCCGUUGCUGCUCUCUCGGAGAUGGAUCUCAUCUGGAUUUCGGAUGUUGAGGGCAAGCAGUAUAUAUAGAGCAGAAUUUCCAAGGAAAUGCCCGUUUGCCUUGUCGCCUGAGUGUAACUUGCUGGUUUGGUCGCAACCUUUGUACGAGCAGCCGAAUGAACAGGAACGGGUACAGACCACAUUUUCUUGACUCAUGCGUGGGCGGUGUAAACAAAGUCUUCUUAUGCGCAACCGGUCCAAGUUCAGAGUGCUGAAGUCCCCUCACGGGUGCGAAUCAUCGGAUGCCAAACGGGUUAGAGCAUCUCCAACAGCCUUCCAAAACGUGCUCCACACGUUAAAUGAUUCGUUUUUUUGCGUCGGACAACUUCAAUAAAAGCUGUAAAAUUAUACACGUGCUGAAAAGUAUUGAUCACGCGCUGAAAAACAUUAUCUCGUGCAGUAUAUUUGAGGCGCCGGCUUGCGCAAGCUUCACAAUUUGCACUGUGUGCUUUUCGAACGCGCGUUUUUUGGCAUCUGCUAAUUCAACGUUGGUCCCCGCAUAAUAAAAAUGCUACAAUGACGCACUGAAACUUUUAUUGGACGCGAAUCUUUUGCGCAGCUGUUGAAGAUGUUCUUACAACUUUCUCAUAAACAUCUAGUUUGCAGCUGCCUUUUCACAACAGAUUUUUCACAGCAGCUUUCGAAAAAUCCAUAGCCCAACCAAACACCACCUAAAAACCAGAUUGGGCUUCGGAUAGAGAGAGAAAAAAAAUCGGUGACCCUGCCGGUUUUGUAAGCUGUGCGGACCCCUCGCGCAGCCGACGCAACACAACGCGGCAUGUACUCCUCGCGCGAGCCCAUUGCCCCGGGCUCUAGUCCCAUAAUUUUACUAUACCGGUCCCAUAAUGUUUUUUUUGGUCGUUAAUGUUAGAGGUUGGGUUGUAUAUCUACAGGACUGAUCUGAUCAAACCAUGCAAGCUGGGUACUCAAUUCUGUCCAAGCUAAACGAGGGUUCUGCAGUCCGUGUUGCUGCAUGUUCUCAGUUUUUUUUAUUGCUGUUGAGGGAACUAUAUAUAUGUUCUCAGCUAAGCAAGAGAAUUACCUGAAUUAACUUUGUGAAAAUUGUGAGAUGGCUGAAUAUUAUGUUUCUUGUUGUUUGUGUUGUAUUGCUCUGAUCCUUGUAGGGGUAUAUAUAGGAGUACAUGGGGUAGAGGCUUGGAGUACAAGACAAGUUACAUGUGAUUUAAACUGAUUAUAUCUCUAUUUCCUUAUCUCUAACUUAAACCCACAUAUAUUUCUAACAUUCCCCCUCAGUCGUAGCGGGGGUGAAGCGGAUGCUUGCGACUGAAUUUAAAGUCUUGCACCUUUGUCAUCUUCUCCACCGCGUCAUUAUCAACUGCGUCUCUGAUGGGUCGGCACCUAGGACGGUGACCGCGUCCCCUUUUGGUGUCUUUCUUGUCUCUCAUCUAUUCCCUCCCGCAGUCACAGCGGGAGUGGUGUGGAUGCUAGUGGCGAUGUAGACGUUGUUGACUGGAGUUGUUGCCCAUGAGUUGUUGUAGACGUAGCCAUUAUUGUCGAUGUCGAGGUAGCCGAUCAUGAUGGUGUAGCCGUGGUCGAGGUAGUCAUGGUCGAUGUGUGAUCGUUGUGGAUGAUGAAGCCACACAAAGACAGAGGCGCAAAAAAUGCGCUAUGACGGAGCUGCAGACGUGGACGAUGCACCUUGCGAAUGUCAGAGGGUGUCGUCGACGAUGAGUCCACCGGUUUUGCCAGGACCGGAGGAAACCAUCGAGCACACAUCGGUUUUGCCAGAACCGAGAGGCCGUAUACGGGUCGUCACUAUAGUGACGCCGUGUCGAUGCAGUCGUGCCGUCAUCGAUGACGUGGUUGAUGUCGACGUCGUGACGCGGUCAUUGCCGUCGUCGAGGUCGCGUCUUGCAAAAAAGUCUGCCAGAGGACGCUAGGUGUCCAUUUUGUGGACGAGGUGGCGACAGUGUGUUGACGAUGAUGGUGAUGAAGGCCACGUUGAUGAAGACCUUGGCGAUGAAGUGUCGGCGAUAAUGUGUCGCUUGAAGGCGUCCCUUGCGGCGACCAAGUGUAGAUGCCUUGCCGCGCCGGAGAAGUCGAUGAAUAAUUGCAUCACUUUCCACACCGGCCCGGCAUGUGGAUGAUGCAUGUUGAUGUCGCUUCUUGUAGAUGUACUCGACGAGGACGAGGAUCUUUUUAGGGUGAUGUAAUCAUACAACUCGGUGUCGUGGCGGUGCAAGGUCGGUGGAGAUCACUCGGUGCAGGUAAUGUCGUGUUGAUGGCUCGGUGAAGAUAGCAUCCGUGCUCGUGCGUAGAAGUCGAAGACCUGAAGGUCCGACGUUUGCUGUUGUUGGCGUAGAUCGGAUCGCUGGGAGCUGCAUGCGGCAUCAGGCCUGCACGCACAUGGUAUGCGCUGCCUCGGAGUAGACUCGCCGGCCCUUCCAAAGUCCCGCACGCGAUGUGACACGAUGCCGCGAUUGGAAUCGAGGGCGGGUGGCGCCGGUCCAUCUUUCCUUCCCAGGCCACGCCUGCUGAGUGUUUGGAUCGGCCGGCUGCUCCAGGGAGUAUGUUCGAGCAUCCAAUAAUAUGGGUUCUAGUCCCAUAAUUUUACCAUACCGGUCCCAUCUAUUUGGUACUACUUAUCAGUACUUUGAUUUUGGUACCUCCUAUUUUUCUACCACUAGAUUAAUUUAAUUGAGUGACCCUUAUUUGUGAGUAGUCAAUCGUUUUUUUCUACCACUAGACUAAUCUUAGUGAGCGGGGGGAUUUUACCACUCAAUGUUCGGACAUAUUGGAUUCACAAUAAUAAUGUCUGCAACGAUCUGAAUUUUUCCUUAUGUAAUCAUUCCCAAUUUUUAUUUCUUUGAGAAGGGCGCGAUAGAGAACAAAUCAUUUUCAGUUUGAUCGAACUAAAAUUAUUUCAAAACUAGUGCCCAUAGAGAAACUAAAAUUAUUUUGAAACCGGUGUUCAUAUAGAAACUAGAAAUAAUAAGAGACUAAAAACAUUCGCAAGUUGGAAGAAAGCUAGGAAUGAGCUGCCGUCUCUUAUUAGGCCGACAAAAAACUAGAAAAUUUCCUCUUAGGAAUAGCAAGAGGAACUAGAAAAUUUAGGACCCUGAUAAGUGUCAGACGUACACGUGAUAACUCCGAACGUUUUUAAGGAUUUACUAGAUCUCUCAGAAAAGUAUGUGUUGAAGGAUUUGACUGCUCAAAUAUGUUGGAAUUAGAUUAUUCAAAUUUUUUAUACAUAAUCAUUCCUACUCCCUCCGUUCCUAAAUAUAAGUCUUUAAAAUGGUUUCAUCAAUGGACUACAUAGAGAUGUAUAUAGACAUACUUUAGAGUGUAGAUUCAUUUAUUUUACUCCGUAUGUAGACUCCUAGUGAAAUAUCUUAGAAGACUUAUAUUUAGGAACUGAGGGGGUAUUUUUUUUCCUUACAAAAUCGAAAAGCACAAUAAAGAGCCUACGUCCUUAUAUAUUUUUGGCGGGAAACAUCCAGAAACUCUAGUUGAUGUCCAAUUGGCUUCAGAGUUCAGUCUUUUUUAUUUGCCAGUUUUAAUUCUCCGAACACUAUUUCUCUGGUUUGGCGCCCGUUCUGAGACUGUUCGGAGAUACUUAAACCUUGUUUUUUACUUUUUACCAAGAACAAGAAGGGACAAAACUAAAUUCAUCCAGCAGCAUCUUCAUUUCUUACUACUGCAGAUAAACUCAUGUAUAGUAUUACAAUCCGCCCAUGCAUGCUAGCUAGCGAAGAAAAGUCUCGGUGGUGUAAAUCGAAACCGCGUUCAGCUUUCCACAAAGAAGCGCAUACCCGUUUGGAGGAUUGGAGACUUGCUGAUCUGCCGGUAAUCUCGAUGAAAUGCAAUCCCGCUAAACUGCCCAGAACAUCCCCUGAAACCCCACGGAAAAUGGAUGGAAAAGGCACGGAAAAACAGGUCUCCGCACCCCUGAUCCCCCGAGAGUCCUACGCCGCGAAGUCAAGUCUCCGCUCUGCUCCCCCGGCCGUCUACGCGCUCCGGCCGCUUCAGUUUCCCCCAGAACUCCGUUUUUUUUUAAUCCGUCUAGCAGACGGAGAAGCAUCGCGGGGAUUACCCCGUCCGAUCCCCGCAAACGCGCGGGCCGCGUAGCGUCUCCAUCGUUCACACACACAUGCAUGCAUACGAAUUCUUCAGCUAAUGGCGGCUUGUGUUAUGCCUAUAUAUCCUGCCGGCCUCCCGCCAUUUCCUGUUCCUCAAGUUCGCGCGCGCUAGCUAGCAGGCUGCAGCCUCUCACUCGCCACCAUUGUUGUUUAAUUUCAUUCAGAGGGACGGUCGAUGCAUCAAGCUGGUUUGUACGUACCUUUUUGUAUAUAAGUUGCGAUGCAUUAACUGACGGUCUGUGCAUUUUCUCGGCGCAGGAGCACUACGAAGAUCGCCAGCCAACCAGCCAUAUUUAUUACCCCGGCCUCUGCAUCACAUGCAUGAUGCACACGGCCAACGGGACAUAUGGCCGUGUAAUUCUGUCGUUAAUGUUACCGGAAAGAUUGUAUAUAUACAUGAUUGGUCAGUAACAAGAUGGUUACAUGAUUUCCGUUAGGCAAGAGAAUUAUUACUCACUCCUUAAAACAAAUAUAAAAGCGUUUACAUCACUAAAGUAGUGAUCUAAACGCUCUUAUAUUUCUUUAAGAAGGAAGUACUACCUCCGUCCGGAAAUACUUGUUCUAGAGAUGAAUGUAUCUAGACUUAUUUUAAUUGUAGAUACAUUCAUUAUAUGCAUUUUUAGGACAAGUAUUUCCGGACGUACGGAGUACCUUUUUCACAUGCAGAGGGCGGAAUGCUGGGACCAAAAUAUCUAACGAGUCUGCCAUAUGAGAAUAGUUCAACAAUCUGGAACUGGCCUUAGCAAGCGAAGAAGAACAGAUCUAACAAAACUUACGUGGUGAUUUGGGCAUUAACUUCGUCAAGAUUGUCUCGGACUUGCAAUUUUAAAGGGUAGUCAUGGCACUUCAUCAAUGCUACUUGUGGAUUGAACCAGGAGGAAGAUGCUCCCAAACUAUCAGAUCAUGGUGAAUAGUGGGAGGAUAGGCACGGCGAAGAAGAGAAAAAAAAAGUCAGUUUGAAGCCUUCUAGGAUUCUAGAUCAAAACAUUUAACUGACAGGUGGGAAGGAUUUGUGCCAAGACCAGCUGGCCAACGUGGUGUCACACUCAAAAUGUCAUUACUGCACAAUUUGGCACCUAGCUACAUGCCUACAUGUGUGCUCGUGACUAAAAUGAGUCGCCUAUGGGGUGAAUAUCCAGUGAUACGGGAGAAUAUCCAUUGCUCCCGGAGCACCUAAGCUUAGGUGCUCCCAUGCGAGCUCGGCCAUUACAUCGUGAUUCAAUGGGCAACAUCACGCAAUGUGGACCAAACCGUCAUUUCAAGAAUGUUCGGGGGAGGAGGGGGGGGGGNNNNNNNNNNNNNNNNNNNGAGUCGUGGUGGGGGGUGCUGGAAACAUUCAUGCUGAAUUUAUCUUUUUUGUUUCUUGAUGUUUGUUUUGAAUUUGUAUUUGAUUUUUUAGGGAUUGCAAACUCAUGUGAUGUGUGAACAUCCAAUUUAUUUCGUAAUUUAUUGAAACAUUUAAAAUUGUUUUUUAAUUGUAUCAUGAGAGUAUUUAGGGUGUGGUAUCACUGGAUAUUCAUGUCACCUAUGUACUCCCUAUCAUUAUAUUAAUUUGAUGAUGUAAUAAUAUUAUUUUUACAAAACUGAUCAAAGCUUAUGAAGGUUGGCAAAACGGUGUUAGUAGUUACGUUUCAAAGUGCCAUGACCUAAAUGUAGUACUGGCAAUAGUUCAUAUGGACCUCAGGUGCGCUUUAUGCUUAAUCAAGUGUGCAAACAUAAGCAACAUUAGUUGAAAGGGGAUUUUCGUAUGAACUCAUGUUGGUACUUAGUUUUAUGAGGUGAACUAUUCAGCACUAUUGGAUGUCGUUGCCGGCAUCACCAUCCAUAGGUGUUGAUUCCUAGCAUGGACCAAUGUCCGGUUUCACCCCGCCCCUAGUUCACGCUCAACGUAAAAAAAACUCGUUCGCUCUGUUAGAUUGGGCGGUUGCUACAUUCCGUGUAGUGACUUCGUUCAAGGUAUUUUCCGUAAGACUUUGCCAUCUUGAUCUUUUUCAUGAAUUAGAUGAACGGUAUUUUUUGUAUGGUUGUAGAUUUUCUUUAACUCGGUAAGGGAUUAAAAAGUCUCGGAGCUGGUGUAGUUAUACCUUUCUGAUGUCACUUGCAAGCGUCGGAGCAGAGCUUUUCCAUGGCAUGACGCCAAACACAGCAUAGCGCCAUAUGCGCCCAAGGCAAACCAAAUCCUAAAUCAUAACCUAGUGGUACUAUAUACAACGCCCCCCACUGUCGCCCUCUUGGGGUUGCAGAUCCCUCGCUCCUACGCCGGUUGGCCUUGACAUCAACAUUUGGCCCACUGUCUCCCUCGUCAUAUUUUGGAAGUUGUGGGACUCUAGGAAUGCUCGUGUCUUUCACAACGAGAUACACUCAUCCAUAGAUACUCUCUGUAACAUCAUCUCAGACUUUACACUCUAGGCCUUUAGAUUUAAGGACAUUGUUAGCAGGGAGGCUGCCAUGUCUUGGCGUUUGUACACCUCCUUCCAUUGUCAUCCUUGAUAUAAUUUGCCCCUACGCCUUGAGUAAUAUUCAGCAAGGGACCCUCCCCUCCCCGGCGUGUUUGUUCAAAAAAAAAACGCCUCCCCACCACCACUCUGAUCGGCAAUGCUGUCGAAGNNNNNNNNNNNNNNNNNNNNNNNNNNNNNNNNNNNNNNNNNNNNNNNNNNNNNNNNNNNNNNNNNNNNNNNNNNNNNNNNNNNNNNNNNNNNNNNNNNNNAUCUAACAAUGACCUAUUAGCUCAGCUGGUUAGGUCGCACGUUCGAGACUUGCAUGGGCCAAUUUUCUUUGGCAUUUAUUUUUCCAUGGCGACGAACAGAGAGGAGGCAUGGAGACGGGGCCGUCGGACGCGCGCUCUCGCCCGCUGUCAAUGCCAACGUAGUGACCUUCCAUGACGGCUCCUCUGCCGCCGCGCCCCCAUACCUCCACCGUUUGCUCCCCCGUCCCUCCGCUCCUCAAUGUCCGUGCUUUCUCCGCUGUCACCGAAUCUGGACAAGAUCGACAGGAUCCAUUGCAUCUCGCGCGACACCCGGCUACAGCUGCUCGUCAGCCAUGCGGGCAGCACGGACGAGCUGCUCGUCGGGCAUGUGGGGGAACACGGACGAGCUGAUCGUCAGCGUCCAUCCCACAGGCCUGCUUCUGCUUCUGUUGCAACACAAAGAAAAGUGUAGUGGAGUAGGUACUGAUCCGCUCCAGAAACAGGGCACACAGCCAAACAGAUGUGCAGUAUAUUCGGAUAGACACUGAAAUAAAUGAUGGUUGUGACAAAAUCCAUGUACUGAAUAACUUACCAACAUUGCCACUGAAAGGAUCUCGAAUAGAUCACUGAAACAAAGGGCUCCCUACAGCCCGUCUGCCAAAUGCAACAGGCUAUGCAUGCCUCUUUUGUGUUGUUAUUACAAUCAUUAGUGUAGGUUUCAAAAAAAAAGUGAGUUGAUAAGACUAAGUUCGAAUUGUCAUAUUUAAUGGGUCAUAGUUUUUUAUUCCAAAAGAAGAUGUUACACAAAAAUACAUGAUUGAUUUGAUAAAUUUAGAUGUUACCAAAGGUCAUGCAUGUCUUUGCUGCAUGAAUUCAACCAAUUUUUCUUUGUUUGACCUGCUGUAUAAUGAAUGUAACUCAUUCCCCCACCUUGGAUCUAUCUUUGUUUCAGUUUAUUUUUUCUGAAAAUUGGUGCUACUUCCGAUUGCUCACAAUUCCAGUUUUGCUGAUAUGAUACAAGCCCUUGUUUCAGUUUUUUUUUCUGAAAAAAUAAUGUUACUAGCCAAGGAUUAGACCAACAAAUUUCAUGUUGCUGACUACAUAUACCUGGACAUUGUGGCUUUGACUUGGUUACGGUAAUUCUUGGGCAUGAUGCUAAAGUAAUUCUUGAAGUUUCAUGUAUUCUCCUCUUUCUUCAGUUAUCAAUUAGCUUAAUUGCAUACACAUGACUAGAUAUGCUUGCUGCACCUAAGUGUUUGUUCCGCAAUGAAUCGGUUGAAACGCAUGCAACAAACAUAUUUACUACUUCUUCCGUUCCUAAAUAUAAGAUCUUUUAAAGAUUAUAGUAUAAACUACAUACGAAUGCAUAUAAACAUAUUUUAGAGUGUAGAUUCAUUCAUUUUGCUUUGUAUGUAGUCUUCUAGUGAAAUGGCUAAAAGGUCUUAUAUUUAGGAACGGAGGGAGUAGUAGUUUCUACAAACCGUUUGUCCGACCACAACUUUGAUAAAAUUUGAGAAAACGUGCAUUACACGUUAGCAUUUACCUUAGCGAGGAAAAAAGAAAAAGCAAAUCGCCCACGAAGGCCUCCCUAAAGUCGGCAUCCAUCGGACCCGGAUCCGACGGCCGAGAAGAAACCCUAGCGCCCAUCGCUGUCCAUAUAUAGGGCCAUUCCUCCCGUCCGAACCCCUCCUCUCAGUCCCCCCCACCCCGCCGCCGCCCCCUCUCGGUUCCUUCUCCAUCCUUCCUUGGAGGUGAGCAUCCGAUCCUUUCCCCCUCCCUGCUUCGAUUCGUCGUCCGUUGUCUCGCAUAGCUUUCAGAUCUGCGUGCCUGCUUCUGUGCAGUAGCUGUGGCCUGCGAGUAGAUCGAGUUUUACUCUCUUUUUGAGGUGCUGCAUGUCGAUUUCCUCCGCGGUUUGAAGGAUUUUCUCUGCUGAGCACCGCGUUCUGUUUUGCGCGGGUGCCUGUGCUUAGUAGAGGUAAAUCUGCGGGUAGAUCUAGCCGCAGGUUCAUAUAUGCGCGGAUGCAUGACUUUUUUCGUCUUUAAUUUUGAUGAAUAUCUGUAAGCUCGUGCCGUAGCCUUGAUCUGUAGGUUUUUACUGUUUCUGUUCCGAUUUGGCGUCGAGGGAUGUUCCCGAAUCAUCUCCGUGCUUCGUUGCAUGUGUUGUUAGAUGGAUCCGUGUAGUACUUAGGGUUCUGUAGGAUCUUUGAGUUCUCUAGGAGAGUUGACAGCAUGAAUUUCAUCGUGUCCUUGUAUGGUGAUAAUUGAUUAGAUUUGUCUGUUGUUAGCGUUAUUACCGCAGUAAUUCUUAGAUCUAAGAAGUACCUGCAGACUGAUUGCUUCAAGUGUAAUUCCACCUCGUUAAAUGCAUCAUCUGCUUGUCUGUAUGGUCGUUUCACAUGUUCACUUGGAUCCGUUGUUUCCAUCACCUGCUUACCUUGAUGUUUCUGUUUGCUAGCUAAGCACGUUCAGCCAUGGGUAAGGAGAAGACUCACAUCAACAUCGUGGUCAUUGGACAUGUCGACUCCGGCAAGUCGACCACCACUGGCCAUCUGAUCUACAAGCUUGGAGGUAUUGACAAGCGUGUGAUCGAGAGGUUCGAGAAGGAAGCCGCUGAGAUGAACAAGAGGUCAUUCAAGUACGCCUGGGUGCUUGACAAGCUCAAGGCCGAGCGUGAGAGGGGUAUCACCAUUGAUAUUGCCCUGUGGAAGUUCGAGACCACCAAGUACUACUGCACCGUCAUUGAUGCCCCUGGUCACCGUGACUUCAUCAAGAACAUGAUUACUGGUACCUCCCAGGCUGACUGUGCUGUGCUCAUCAUUGACUCCACCACUGGUGGUUUUGAGGCCGGUAUCUCCAAGGAUGGCCAGACCCGCGAGCAUGCCCUCCUUGCUUUCACUCUUGGAGUGAAGCAGAUGAUCUGCUGCUGCAACAAGGUAUACAUGCCAUUCCACUUCCAAUGCUAAACAUCCUUUAAACUGAUUUGACAUUUGUCUAAGUCUGAUUAUCUUGCAACACUCAUUAGUUAUUCUAUAAUAUAUAUGUAGAUCGCCUUGUUGUAUCUAAUUUAGAUUUGUAGUGUUGUUCUACAUGCUUGAUGUGAAUACUCAGAGUUACUUAGGAAAUGCCCAGCUUCAGUAGUACUCCUGAAUUGUAUUGUAAUUAAUUAACUUUUGUCAUGUUGCCAAAUUUUGGGUGAUUUAAUAUCAUCACUUAACUGAUUAGUUCUCAUUGUAUCUUAAUUUAUAUGUUCUAAACAGCUUGCUUGCUCAUUAUCUCUUAUUCCUGCAACUUCCAUCACUUGAUUGCUAUACAUGUUCGCUGUUUCUUAUAUUUGUUUGCAUCACAUGUUCGCUGUUUCUUAUAUUUGUUUGCAUCUUUAUAUACUAGUAAUUCAGUUGUGUUGGUCUGAUGUGCUUGCUCUGGUUCUGUUACAGAUGGACGCCACCACACCCAAGUACUCGAAGGCCCGUUAUGAGGAAAUCGUCAAGGAAGUCUCUUCCUACCUGAAGAAGGUCGGCUACAACCCUGACAAGGUUCCCUUCGUCCCCAUCUCUGGGUUUGAGGGUGACAACAUGAUUGAGAGGUCCACCAACCUUGACUGGUACAAGGGCCCUACCCUUCUUGAGGCUCUUGACCAGAUCAAUGAGCCCAAGAGGCCCUCAGACAAGCCCCUGCGUCUUCCCCUUCAGGAUGUUUACAAGAUUGGUGGCAUUGGAACUGUGCCCGUGGGCCGUGUUGAGACUGGUGUCAUCAAGCCUGGUAUGGUUGUUACCUUUGGGCCCACUGGUUUGACAACUGAGGUCAAGUCUGUUGAGAUGCACCAUGAGUCUCUCCUGGAGGCGCUUCCCGGUGACAAUGUCGGCUUCAAUGUCAAGAACGUUGCCGUCAAGGAUCUGAAGCGUGGGUUUGUUGCAUCCAACUCCAAGGAUGACCCUGCCAAGGAGGCAGCCAACUUCACCUCCCAGGUCAUCAUCAUGAACCACCCUGGUCAGAUCGGCAAUGGCUAUGCCCCAGUGCUGGACUGCCACACCUCCCACAUUGCUGUCAAGUUUGCUGAGCUGGUGACCAAGAUCGACAGGCGAUCUGGUAAGGAGCUGGAGGCGCUGCCCAAGUUCCUCAAGAACGGUGAUGCUGGUAUCGUGAAGAUGAUUCCCACCAAGCCCAUGGUUGUGGAGACCUUUGCCACCUACCCUCCUCUUGGCCGUUUUGCCGUGCGUGACAUGAGACAAACGGUUGCUGUCGGUGUCAUCAAGGGCGUGGAGAAGAAGGACCCCACCGGUGCCAAGGUUACCAAGGCUGCCAUCAAGAAGAAAUAGGCGCUAUCUAGCUGAAGGAUUUUGUUCGCGGUCAUUGCUUUUGUUGCUUCAGACUCUUAUCCCGGGCGAGCAAUGAUCUGUCUGUCGUUUAAUUACUGUAUUUCUAUUCCUGCUUCUGCUAAACUCCUGUGCCCUGAGACUGAUUUGUUGUGAAAUGCAAGUUAUUAGAUUGCACUUGUUUUUCUGCUGCUUUUGCCAAAUGGUUGCAUGUUUCUGUCUAUCUGUUUUUUAUUUACAGAGGUUUGGUUUGCAUUUGUUGGUAUUGCCUGAAUGGUCUUGUUAUCUUCUGAGUUCUGGCGGCUGAGAUUGCUGGUAGUCUGCAGAACCUGGCUACAUCUGUAUUCAUGCCUGCAAUGCUUCUGAGUAACCACGUUUGAAUCUCAACCAUUAUUGGGUUUCUUCCUAAAUCCUGUACAGCGAGCUGCCUCUGUUAUUUUACGGAAAAAAUGCCAAUUUCGCAUGCUUUGUGUCUCCGUGUCUAAAUAUUUCACUACGGACUUGUUGUUCUAGAGAUGGUGGCUGGCUAGAGACCAACUUUCGGCCUCUCGCAGUCUUAAUGGGUUUUGGGCAAUUGUUGUUUUGUUCUGAACAAACCUGGCCUAGUUCAGCUCUUAAUAGAACUUCUGAUAGGCUGUGUGUAUUUUGUUAUGGUACCAAAUCAUGUUUAUCAUUUAUAUUCGUCUGUGUGACUAGCAAAAUGUUACGACACAAUUUGCUUUGAUGAUCUGGUUGUUUACCUCAGAUUCUUCUGAUUCUUGUCACCCUCCUAAUUUCUACUUUUCCCCUUCUCCAUCCUUCAGCCUGAGGAUUGAGGACCAGCUUGUUGAGGAUGGGACUCGAGCAGAUUUGGGUCAGUUGAUGAUUAUGUGGAUUAGGAUGACACCACAACUGAACAUCCAUAUUUUCGGCUGAUUCCCAUGCUCAGGCGCAAACUCAUUCUUUUGUUCUUGCCACUUAGUGCCAAACCGUGAGAAUUGUGAAAAUAAUAAUCUAUGUGAGAUAUGUAAAACCGUUGUAACUUUGAUUGUGUGCGCUCUCAGUUUGCGGUUUUGUGAGGAACUGUUCAUUUUUCUCGCGUGAGAUAAUUUGAACCUAUGAUAAUGUUGCUUAUGUGUGUAUAGCUUGCCAUUUGGGGCAGCGAAGAAUUGAUAAUUUUCCUUGCGCUCAGAUGUUUGAACUCGUGACAAAUUUGAUUAUGUGAUUUUUUACUUUCUCCCAAGAUUGGUUACGCGGGAAAUCGUAUGAGAAGUAUGUACGUGCAUUGCAUUGAAGGCUGAAAGAUAUAGAAUUGAUAAUUUUCCUUGCGCUCAGAUGUUUGAACUCGUAUUUGGGGCAGCGAAGAAUUGAUAAUUUUCCUUGCGCUCAGAUGUUUGCUCAGAUGCAGAUAUACUGAAAGCAAACAGAGAAUGCAUCCCAGCGUUCGAUCUCCCAGCUGGCUCAUUGUGAGUGUAUAGAGUGGAUCAGUGGAGUCGAGUGAACCUAGUUACGGAACGUACUGUCAAAUCAAGAUUUAGCGUGUAGAGCUAGUAAAGCAUGAACGUGGAGCAGAGUCAAGGAAUUAGAGGAGUGGAGGGGAUCCGAACACGCUCUAAGAGCAUCUCUAGUGGAACGUGUAAAUUUGAACGUGUAUAUCUUCAUAUACACGUCCAUAUACACCUUGUUAAAUUUUACACCUUUCAAUUUUUCAGUGAAACGUGUAUACACGACGUGGAAAUUAGGACGUGCAAAAAUCUCGCCCUGCAUCUCGCACGCCCGCACGGAGCGCCUCCCCCACGCAGCGCCGCCCGCCCGCCCGCACACACCNNNNNNNNNNNNNNNNNNNNNNNNNNNNNNNNNNNNNNNNNNNNNNNNNNNNNNNNNNNNNNNNNNNNNNNNNNNNNNNNNNNNNNNNNNNNNNNNNNNNNNNNNNNNNNNNNNNNNNNNNNNNNNNNNNNNNNNNNNNNNNNNNNNNNNNNNNNNNNNNNNNNNNNNNNNNNNNNNNNNNNNNNNNNNNNNNNNNNNNNNNNNNNNNNNNNNNNNNNNNNNNNNNNNNNNNNNNNNNNNNNNNNNNNNNNNNNNNNNNNNNNNNNNNNNNNNNNNNNNNNNNNNNNNNNNNNNNNNNNNNNNNNNNNNNNNNNNNNNNNNNNNNNNNNNNNNNNNNNNNNNNNNNNNNNNNNNNNNNNNNNNNNNNNNNNNNNNNNNNNNNNNNNNNNNNNNNNNNNNNNNNNNNNNNNNNNNNNNNNNNNNNNNNNNNNNNNNNNNNNNNNNNNNNNNNNNNNNNNNNNNNNNNNNNNNNNNNNNNNNNNNNNNNNNNNNNNNNNNNNNNNNNNNNNNNNNNNNNNNNNNNNNNNNNNNNNNNNNNNNNNNNNNNNNNNNNNNNNNNNNNNNNNNNNNNNNNNNNNNNNNNNNNNNNNNNNNNNNNNNNNNNNNNNNNNNNNNNNNNNNNNNNNNNNNNNNNNNNNNNNNNNNNNNNNNNNNNNNNNNNNNNNNNNNNNNNNNNNNNNNNNNNNNNNNNNNNNNNNNNNNNNNNNNNNNNNNNNNNNNNNNNNNNNNNNNNNNNNNNNNNNNNNNNNNNNNNNNNNNNNNNNNNNNNNNNNNNNNNNNNNNNNNNNNNNNNNNNNNNNNNNNNNNNNNNNNNNNNNNNNNNNNNNNNNNNNNNNNNNNNNNNNNNNNNNNNNNNNNNNNNNNNNNNNNNNNNNNNNNNNNNNNNNNNNNNNNNNNNNNNNNNNNNNNNNNNNNNNNNNNNNNNNNNNNNNNNNNNNNNNNNNNNNNNNNNNNNNNNNNNNNNNNNNNNNNNNNNNNNNNNNNNNNNNNNNNNNNNNNNNNNNNCCCCGCACAGCGCCGCCGCCAGCCAGCCCGCCUGCACGCACAGCGCCCCGCACAGCGCCACGAGCGUGGCUGCAUCGUGUUUAUUUGCACGACGAGUAGCCUCGUGGAUGGACGUGUAUAACUUCCACGCCCG
rnacentral:lncRNA from 1 species